GAAGUCUUUUAAAUAAAAGAUAUGAAGAAGCAGCUGUACUGGUAGAGAACAUGCGAGCUCGUAAAUUCUCAGAAGAUGCGUCUACCACAUCCAUGGUACUAGACCUAUUAUCUAAAGAACAGGACCCCUCCGUUCUUGCUUUCUGCAAAUGGUUUUUGCAAUAGGUACUGAAGUUUAUGGUUCAUUGUUAUGUAUUGUCAUCUUUUAACUUCCUUAAGUUUUCUGCUGUAGUAACAUGUUUUACUGAGCAAUGAAUUACUCUAAUUAGCAAUGUAAGGGGUUUCAUUAGUUUGUUAAGAGCCAAUAGACAAUAUAUACGAGACGGUAAGACUAUGUCUUUUAUUUGUAUUGAGUACGGUCUAUGGUCAAAUUGUCAUUCAGAAUUGAAACUUUGCAUCUCGUGGCCUCUCAUAUGCAGACAAAGAAAUCAGCAUUUGAAAAUAAUAAAAGAAGCCUAUGUAAUACCUCAAUAAUGCAUAUAUUCAGAUAACUUUAUUCUGGAUAUUCUCUUUAGCACAUAUUUUGGCUUUCACAAACAAGCUCAUUUUUCUUCCUCGUCAUAUUUGGAUAUAAUAAAUGUUACAACAUAUUGGCAUUCUUCACCAUGGUGAGAGGGUAUCCGAUUAACAGUAAUAAGUAAUAACAAGGUAACCACCAGAUUGGUGACAGGAUAGGUCCAGUUAUUAUAAGUUCACGAUGUUUGAAUGAUAUUUACUGUUAUUUACUAUGCUGGUCUUGCCUAGCACUACGGUAAGUCAGCAGUUGCUGUUGGCCUCCUUUUGUUGCUGAAGUCGGCAUCUAUUUGGAUAUUUAAGAAUCUGAUGGUGUGUGGGGAUAUACUAGUACGAAGUUCUUAUAUGUAUUUCCUCUCCAAUUUAUAUCUUGGUCAAGAGGGCUCCAUUCCUUAACUCAUUAGUGUACGAUUUAGACAUUGCAAAUCAAACUCUGCUUGCACCCUUCCCGCUUUAAUGUGAAGAUGUGAGAUCAAAAUCUUCCUGCUUUGGUAUGGCCCCUGCAGCUAAAUUUGUAUUCAGGUUAAAUCUGAAGGCACUGGAUGCCUCCAAUGACAGUUAAACAGGAGCGCAAUGCACAAUGGCACUAAGAUACAUUGAAGGUAUGUCAAAACUUUUUUCUUUUGACAAUUACAUAGCCCAGUAGAAAUAGUGUGUACUGCAAAAACUAAUGAAAUUGCAAUCGAUAAGUAAACAGAAUGGAAGGCAAAUUCAGUUUUCUUGUACUGAAUUUUGGUUCUUAUUAUCAUAUACCAAAGUAAUAUGUGACAAAAUCAAAUCCUUCGAUCCUUAAAUAUUUCUUAAAUAUCGGCUCUUGGAGUGUUUAUCUCAUCCUAUCAGUUUCCGGUGCAAUAUUAUUACUGUAUUGAGGCAAUGACUGAUAUAUCGUGACAUUUAAAUGCUAUGAUCCCUAAACUGACAGAUCAUUGCAUACUCUGUGCGCCACAAUUCCGAACAAAUUUACCUAGCUAGCGAAUGUACUAUUGCUUGAUGAAAUACUAAUAUCUGAUAAAUGUACACUUUGGGAUAUUUUGCAGGCUUAUACUCUUAGAAAUAGAAGCAGAAGUUGUGAUGUCAAAGUCGAUACAAAUAACUUGUAAUGUCCGAAAUAGUACAUAGCGAAUUGUGCUAAACUUUUCUUCGUCUGGUUUAUUUUUGCGCAAAAGUUCCAAGGAUAUGCAGAAAACGCAGGUAAACUGGCAUUCACUAGUAUAUUUAUCUACAACUUUGUGCCUAUAUAAUCAGGAGUAAAAAUAAAUGAUGUGUAGUACUAGACUUCAGAUGCUGCCAAUUGUCAGCAGCUGCAUAUUUAUUUAUCUUAUAUCAUUAGUCAUUAGUAUCAAACCACAUCCAUCCACUAUAGUUUUGAGACAUCACGAAACUGGGAGCCAAAAAUGUUGUUUAGUAAAUAUGCACUAUACUGAAGAUGACUUGUGAGAGUGUGUUUGCACAAGUAGUAAUCACGAGUUUCUAGUUCAUAAAAAAUUUCUGAUGGCAGUGUUCGGCAUAACCUACAAUUGUCAUAUUCUUCUUCUUAUUUUUUAAUCAAUUUAGUGAUAUUGCUCGGUUUUUCAUUCUAUACAUUCAUAUUUAAUAGGUACUGUCCGGGUCUGGACAUUCAACAUCAGGGCAUAAUGUCAACAGGAAAAGACCGGUAAACGGCUUAAUUCUAAAUUUUGGAUGAAUAUGCAGGGGUGUUAUGGUACGUUUAACGGAAAAUUGUCUCACUUUACGUAUCACUUUAGAUGAAUAUCAGGAUAUGCUGGGGUGUGUUUUAAGCAUUCCAGUUAACAAAUUUACCUUUAAUACUGUCAUCAAUUCCUUUGCUCACUUAAAUGGUCUUGUCCCUAGUGUUGUUACCUAAAACACUCUCAUGAAGGCCCUUCUAUCUCAUGCCUUUGGAGACUGAGUUUUUGUUUAGUAGCUUAUGAGAUUUCAAGAAAUUCAGAUAGUCUCUGCAAAAUGAAUACGAAUCAUGAAUCAUAUUCCAGUUUUAGGGUAGGAUCAUUUUAUAGAAGAUAAUACGUGACCUAAAUUGAGCGGUUAUAUACUAAUAUAAGUGAUAAUAUCUGGGAUUAAUAAUCAUAUUAAACGCAAUCAUCCUAUCUUUGGUGUGCAGAUGUUCUUGGACAAUAAGCCAAGCAUUGAAAGCAUGCUUGGGAAUAUAGCAAAUUUUUCAUAUCAAAUUAAACCACAAAGAUUUUAAUUUAUGAUCAGUAAGGUCAGAGUAAUGGUGGCAAGUUUUACAGGCACAGAAUUAUUUUUUAAAUAUUUAGAUUAUAUAAUUUUUUUUUUGAAUAAAAAAUUAUAGAACUAUGUUUUAUACGUUCAUUAAAGUGCAUGUCAGACAGUGGAAAAAAAAUGUUAAGAAAUGAAUGGGACAAUAGAGGGAAUAUUAGCUAGAAGUAUAUUAUUAAUAAUUUUGUUUAAUAUUAUGUUUAGGCUAGAUUUGAAAUUCGGUGUAGUUUGGUGUUUAGUUGGUUUGAUUUGAGUCUUGUUUUGGUCAAAAAUGGGCAGUUUAGGGAUUUUUUAGUGUAGAAUUUGUUGUUGAAUUUGGUUUAGAGGUUAGUGGGUUUUUAUUUGUUAUAUUUGGAAUGACUAGAUUUUCCGGAAAAUUAAUUUUCCGGUGAGAUUCAAGCUAUUCCGAUGACCUCUAUAAAUUCCGGUGAUAAACUUUUGUUUGUUUAGUUUUGGUUGGGGUUUGCGCGCGACGACGGCGAGUAACUAUUUUCUUAUUUCGUGUGCACUCUGUUUUUUAUUUCAGGUACUGAUAUGCGGCUUGUUGAUUUUUUGUUUUUUUUAUAUUUUGUUUUCUUUUUAUUUUUAAUUAUUAGUUUAAUAAUAGUUAUUAACUAAUUACAAUAGCUGUUUAUCAAUUUUAGGUGAAUAAUUAAUAAUUAUAUAUUAUUUUCUUAUUUUAAUUAUCAACUUAGAUUAAUCCGAAUUCUACUCAAAAUUUUUUGGUCUAAUUUGAUUAAAUUAAAGAUUAAGAUUUUCGCGAGAAUAAUUUUAGUCUUUGUGGAACGAAUCUUAUAUUAUUAAAUUAAAGAUUAAGAUUUUCUUAUUUAUUAUUAUUUUAAUAAUCGGUUCGGUUCGGUUUUUUGCGGUUCGGUUUUCACUUAAAACCGGAACGUAUCCAUUAGAAUCGGUUCGUAUUUAAAAUUUUCGGUUUCGGUUCGGAUAUUUUUAUACGGUUCGGUUUUUGAUCGAUUUUACCGGUUUUAGGUUCGGUUUUUUCUCACCCCUGAGGGCAGGAAUUCUAUCUGUAUGAAAUAUGUGAACUUGCCUUUGUCAUUUUUUCGCAUCUGUUCCGUUCUGCCCUUGGCUGAGAAAAACCUUAUGUUUUACUUUCAGCAUUUUUAUAAGCUUUUUCAUGACAUCCCUGUCUGACAUCUUAUUCCGCUUUUCAAAUCUCUCGCCAAUAUUUUUUAAACCGUUCUGCCCCUUCGUCACUCCUAGCUUCGGCACCCGCAGGUUCAUUCGCCCCCAAGAAAUACCUAUUUUCGUCCAGCCAAUCUAACAAGUGGUCCGCUCUUUUCAAAUCCAUAUCUUCUACCGCCGCUUUUUCAUUUUCUGUAGUAUUUGAACGACGUAGCCUGUUUUCUCCUCUCUAUUUAUCAACUGUUCCAUUCUACUUGUCAAUUUUUUGUAAAGGUUUGUGGCCAGUGCCCGUUGCUUCUUCCUUUCAAACUCCGAAUCAAAUAGGCUAAACAAUUUAAAAUAUGAUGAACCCAAUUUAGCUUUUCUUGGCUCAUCUGCAAUAAAAAACACAAACUCUAAAUUAAAAAGAUAAAACUAGGAUAUACCAUAUCCUAGCUCUUUAAAGACCAAGACAAUGUAGUAAACUAAUAAAACGUGUCAGCCCAUGAAUUAACCAAAGAUUUCUUGUGAGCAACGUUGACUCUGUUGACCGAACAAUUGGUAGAUGGAAAUUUUAGAACACCAACUUCCUGCAAAAAUAAUUAGAACAAAUUGCUUUGAGGCGUGAUACUAUCACUUUCUUUAAGGAUUUAUUCCGCCCCAAUUAUUUAACAAUUUGCUAAGAGGUUACUAGCGAAAUUAUUCCUACAGGAUACAACAAAGCAUGAAGGAUGGCAACUAGCAAUAUUGGUAUCCUUCCUAAUUACUUAGGAACAAGAUUUCAUAAUUGUGUAUAGCAUUUGUGUCGUGAGAAAACUCAGAAGUUUUUUCUUCUUAUAUAUCUCAUACAAGAUUUGCCUCUAUUUAUAAUGUGUUCUCAAUAAAUAUAACUCCCUCAGAUUUAAUUAUAUUUAUGACUAUCUCAAUAAAUAUAGUCAUUCAAUCUAGGAGUUUCAUAUUAAUAAAACCAACACAUUAUCUGCAGCUUUUAUUUCUCAUCUGCUUUAAAUAUAAAAUAUUUAAAGAUAUAAAAAGAUUUCACAAAUAUCUUUUUUAUUUUAUUGGUUCCUAUAUUACAAAAAUCCAACAGACUCGACCCAGGAACAUAAUCUCUGCAAUCACCACAACAAGAACACAUAAAGGCAUUAAAUUUGAGCAUUUUCUCCUUAUUUUUUGGUGGGUGUUUUCCGGUUGAGGCGGGCUCAUUGUUAAAUGUAUAAAGUUUGAAUCUUUAUUGUUUUGAUUGUUUAUUGUUUUGAUUGUUUGGUGGGUGUUUUCUGGUUGAGGCGCGCUCAUUGUUAAAUUUAUAAAGUUUGAAUCUUUAUUGUUUUGAUUGUGCAAAGGUUGAAUCUUUAUUGUUUUGAUUGUUUAAAGGUUGAAUCUUUAUUGUUUCUCUCGAGAGGGGUUGUUUAAUUUUCAUUGAAUUUUUUUGGGUAUGUUGUGUUUUAGUGGAGAUAGAAAGUGGGGGAAAGUAAAGGAGGAGAGUUCGGGAGGGCGUGGAGCAAUGAGGAUUGAGGAGUGCUUUCUGUUGGUUCUUCCGAGCCAUUUGAAUGUUGGUUCUGAUAUGGGAGUCAAAUGUGAGAAUAAACAGGGUGAUUGACAAGUGGAUGAAUGUGUAGAGCAUCUAUGAUAGUAUAAAAAUUAAAAAUUAACGAUAAACGAAUCGAGCCGAAUCGAAUUUUUUCCCAAAUUUUUUUACUUAUCAGGUAAGGAAGCUCAAGAGAUUUAUAUAGUAUAUUUCUGCAGCUAAACUUGAAUUGAUGUGCAAUCAAUCUGUCUAGGUUAAAAUUAUGUCGAAUUGAAUUCUAAUUUAUUUAUAUUUUUUACUUGUUUUAAUAAAUUAUUAAAUUAUAAUAAGCUCAACUCGAAAUAUUAGAUAAUUGUAAUUUAAUAACUAAAUUAUAAAAGUAAGAUUUCAAAAUAUUGAGUCAUAUGAAUGUAUGAUUUAUUUCAUAGAAUAGAGUUUUCAAUCGUGACAUUAACCAAAAGCCAAAUUCUUUACAAAAACAUGACAGAUCAAUAAAAUUAUGACAUGAGUCUAAAACUACAUUAUUAGAGUACUAUGAAAAUUAACUAAAAUUAUGAGUUUUUUUAGUGAAACAUUAAAAAAAAUUGUGUAUACAUGAACUUGUUUGAUUUUGGGAUUUUGUGAAAUUGUUCAUAAAUUUAAGGCCUUUAAAUUGUUUUGGCAAAUGAGAUUCGAAAGGUACAAACAAGUCGGUUUAUAUUAGAUUUAGUAAUAUGUAUGUUGUUUAUUGAAGAACUUGUUCGUGAAUAUGCUGUUAAAAUUGGUUUAGGUAAGAAUGAUUUUUUUGUCAUAGGAUUAGUUGAUAUACACUGAGUGCAGGAAGAAUUUGAAAGAGGAAUUAUGUUUCUUUGAUUGUUAUGAUUAGUGGUAUUCUAAAAAUACUAAAGAGUAUAUGUUGUAUAUGUUAUUUAUAGCUUGUGCAACAUUAUCUUCUCGCGAUGUGAAAAUGAAAAAUAUUUUUUAAUAACUUGGCCUAGAUGGAUAGAAAUGAAUAAUCAAAUACAUAUCUUGACGUCUGAACACAUUAACAUGCUGACCCAUCACCAUGGGUGGAUCGGAAGGGCUUGAGGCUUUAAGUAUCAAAUAAAAAAUUAAUAGUAAAAUUAAAAUUUAUAUAUACAAAAGCACCUUCUAAAUUUUUUAAUUGUGUAUAGUAAUAGUUUUGAUAUGUCUGAUCUUAUAUUAAUAUAAAAAAUUAUCAAUUUUUGAGAUUAUUUUUUCAAUAAUAAUUAAAUUUCUAUUUAUCAAAUCCUCAAUCCACAUUCAUCGUUGUACUGAUUUGAUACACAAUCAUAAUUUCAUAUUUUUAGAAAAUUUAUCAAGACUCACACAGCAGAACACGAGAUAAAAGCAAUGAAAACCACAUAGUACAUAUAUGUGUUCAAGUCAUGCUCGUAAAAAGUGGGAAUCAAAUUUGAGUGUAACCGGUAAAUUUAUAUAAAAAAAUUGAAAAAAAUAUUAUAAAAUUAUUUAUCUGUAAUUUUAUAAAAAAAUAUUAGUCCAUGCAUGAUUUAAAAAGAAUAAAUUUAUUCUUUUAAAUUUGUGCAAUCAACUUUAAUUUUAAGCAAUCAUGAGGAUCCGUUUAGCAAAGUGCACAAAUUUAGCAUGAUAGUAUGAUACAAAUAUCAUUACAUUAUUAAUACUAUCAAAACUGCUCUAAGUUCUAACGGACUAAUUACACUUACCACCUACUCAAUUUCUCAGCAUCCCAUUUCUGCACAUUGUGUAGCUCAGAGAAGCUUCAGCAAUGGCUGUCAACAGAGGAGCUCUUCUCAUAAUGACUUGUUUCAGCUUAAGGCCUCUCAGUGUAAGCCCUUGUUCUCUUUCAUCCUCUCUUUUUCGUUCUCAUUUUCUUCCUUUCUCUACUAAACCUCAGCCUAAUUCACAAUUUAAAGCCCCCUUUAUUCCUUCUCCAUCCACCACUCAUCCCAAACUUAAACAAUUACUCCAUCAUAAAUCUAAAGUUGGUUUCGACAAACUCGACGAUGCUCUUCUUGUGUUCGAUAAAAUGCUCCGUCUGAAAUCUAGGCUUUCUGUUGUGCAUUUCACACAACUGUUAACCGCCCUCGUUCGAAUGGAAGAGUACUCUAUUGCCGUCUCCAUGUUUAGAGAAUUCCGUGUUUUAAGCAUUCCUGUUAAUAUUGUUACCUUUACUACUGCCAUACAUUCAUGUUGUCAUUUGAACACACUUGAUUAUGCCUUUUCAUUGCUUGCUGUAAUCAUCAAGAGUGGUCAUGUCCCCAAUGUUGUGACCUACAACACUCUCAUCAAGGGCCUUCUAUCUCAAGACAGGCCUUUGGAGGCUGGGGAUUUGUUUAAGAAGCUUAUCAUAUUUCAAGAAAUUCAGCCCGAUGUAGUUAUGUAUAGCACCAUCAUUGAUGGUCUCUGCAAAACUUCAAAUACCUCCAUGGCUCUCAAGUUGUUAAGAAAGAUGGAGGAGAUAGGUUGUAACCCCGAUGCGGUAACUUAUAACUCGAUCAUUGAUUCUUUGUGCAAAGAGAGACGAGUCGAUCAUGCAUUGGUUCUUGUGUCUGAAAUGACUGACAAAGGCAUAUCACCUAAUGUUAUAACCUAUAGCACGCUACUUCAAGGUCUUUGCAGCUCCGGCCGAUGGGAGGACACUGAGAGUUUGUUAACUGAGAUGGGUGUUAGUAAGAUCUCUCCAGACUUGCACACCUAUAAUAUAUUAGUUGAUGCAUACUGCAAAGAAGGGAGGACAAAACUUGCUCAAGAUGUUAUUGAAAUUAUGAUCAAGAAAAGUGUACCUCCUGAUGUAAUCACCUACAACACACUAAUGAAUGGAUUUUGUUUAAGAGGCAACACUGACAAGGCAUUAGAGGUGCUGAAUACCAUGAGGAGUAAUGAGAUAUGGCCAGACUGUUAUAGCUAUAACAUUCUGAUUGAUGGUCUCUGCAAGAACAGAAAACUUGACGAGGCCAGAAAUAUUUUUGAUAAGCUUGCUUCGAGAGGUUUGCAACCCAAUGUCAUAACACACAACAUAAUGAGCAGAGUACCUUGUCAAGUGGGGUUAUUUGAGGAAGCAAAGGAAUUACUUUCUAAAAUGGAAACGGGCAUUUGUCUGCCUGAUGCUGUGAUUUAUAAUACGAUCAUCCGUGGAAGUCUUUUGAAUAAAAGAUAUGGAGAAGCAGUUGUACUGAUAGAGAACAUGCGAGCUCGUAAAUUCUCAGAAGAUGCAUCUACCACGUCCAUGGUACUAGACCUAUUAUCUAAAGAAGAACAAGACCCCUCCGUUCUUGCUUUCUGCAAAUGGUUUUUGCAAUAGGUACUGAAGUUUAUGGUUCAUUGUUAUGUAUUGUCGUCUUUUAACUUCCUCGAGCUCUCUGCUGUAGUAAUAUGUUUUACUGAGCAAAGAAUUAUUCUAAUUAGCAAAUAGCAAUGUAAAGGGUUCCAUCAGUUAAGAAUAUGUUUUUUGGAGGCAUAUCAUAUAAGGGACUCAGACUGUUCCCAUCAUUUCCAUGAACGAAAAUGUUUUUGUGGUGAUUACUUGUAUGAAGUUCUUAUAUGCGUUUCCUCUCCAAUUUAUAUCUUGGUCAAGAGAAUGGAGGGCUCCAUUUCUUAACUCAUUGGUGUACGAUUUAGACAUUGCAAAAUCAAACUCCGCUUGCACCCUUCCCACUUUAAUGUGAAGAUGUAAGAUCACAGUCUUCCUGCUUUGUUAUGGCCCCUGCCUCCCAUGACAGUUAAACAGGAGCACAAUGCACAAUGGCACUGAGAUACAUUGAAGGUAUGUCAAAACUUUUUUCUUUUGACAAUUACAUGGCCCAGUAGAAAUAGUGUAUACUGCAAUAUUAAUAAAAAAAUGCAAUCGAUAAGUAAACAGAAUGGAAGGCAAAUUCAGUUUUCUUAUACUGAAUUUUGGUUCUUAUUAUCAUAUACCAAAGUAAUAUGUGACAAAAUCAAAUCCUUUGAUCCUUAAAUAUUUCUUUAAUAUCGGCUCUUGGAGUGUUUACCUCAUCCUAUCAGUUUCUGGUGCAAUAUUUAUUGUUGUAUUGAAGCAAUGACUGAUAUAUCGUGACAUUUAAAUGCUAUGAUCCCUAAACUGACAGAUCAUUUCAUACUCUGAGCACCACAAUUCCGAACAAAUUUACCCAGCUAAUAGCGAAUGUACUAUUGCUUGAUGAAAUACUUAUAUCGAAUUAAUGUACACUUUGGGCUAUUUUGCAGGCUUAUACUCUUAUGUUGUGUUUGGUUGGGGUGAAUGAUUCCGGAAAGAAUGGAAUGAAAAAUUAACUAUAUUAUGGGCAAUUGUUAACAAGUUUCAUUCAUUUCUCCAUUCCAUUCCUUACAUUAUGUGCUAGAGAUCAUACAUUCAAUUUGAGAUGGAAUGCUCCAUUCUCUCCUACCCCCAAUUUCUUCUCAAAUCUCAUCAUAGCAAUUUUGCCCUCACUUACAUUUAUUCCAAAAUUUCCCUCCUAUCUCUAUUAAUUACAAGUAAUUUUACUCAUUCUAUUCCAUUCUAUCCAACCAAACACAACAUUAGAAAUAGAAGCAGAAGUUGUGAUGUCAAAGUCGAUAUAAAUAACUUUUCGAAUUGUGCUAAACUUUUCUUCGUUUGGUUUAUUUUUGCGCAAAAGUUCAAGAAUAUGCAGAAAACGCAGGUAAACUGGCAUUCUCUAGUAUACUUAUCUACAAUUUUGUGCCUAUAUAGUCUGGAGUAAAAAUAAAUGAUGUGUAGUACUAGACUUCAGAUGCUGCCAAUUGUCAGCAGCUGCAUCUUUAAUUAAUAUCAUUAGUCAUUAGCAUCAAACGACAUCCAUCCGUUAUAGUUUUGCGAUAUCAAGAAACUGGGAGCCAAAAGUGUUGUUUAGUAAAUAUGCACUAUGCUGAAGAUGACUUGUGAGAGUGUGUUUGCACAAGUAGUAAUCACGAGUUUCUAGUUCAUAAAAAAUUCUGAUGGAACUUGUUUACAGUGUUCGGAGUAACCUGCAAUUGUCAUAUUCUUCUUCUUAUCUACUUCUAUAUAUUAAAGGAGAACCAGGGGCAAAAAGAGCAAAAAUAAUACCUGUGAAUUUCCGUAUAUACCCUCGGUUUUUACAGAAUUUUGAUCAUACCCUCAACUAUUAUACCGGAUUAUACCCAUGUUUUCUAGACCCGAAUAGUAGCCUGAUCGUUUUUAGCUCAAUACUCCUCAUUUUCUUCACGAUCUAUAAUAGUUUCUCAGUAUGUAUAUUGUCAUGAUGUUUGGUUUAGCAUAAGUAUUCUUGUGACCCACGAUUUCUGUUUUGUGAUGGGUUGCCUAUCGUAGAUUGGGUCGCAGAGAAAAGGGAUUGAACAAUAUCAAUUGGGUUUACGAGGCACACCAUUCUUCCAAUGGAUGGUUUCCCUAAAAAACUUGGCAGGAGAAGUUGUACCUGAUCAAAGACAUUCGAUAUUUAAAGCGAGGGAUAAUCUUGUGUUUCUGAAACGCUGGUUCUUCAAUUUUCCUUUACAAUCAUAUCAUCCACUGUUUUCUGUGUAAGAGAUUAAAAUGAUUAACCGGCUAUAUUUUCAGUGCCACAGUGGGGGGUAUACUAGACAGAGCCAUUGAAGCAGAGGGCUGAAAGCAUGGAGAUUUUAUAAGGCUGGUAAGGUUUUGUAGCCUAUGUAUUAUUAUUUUCUUCUUCUGUAUUACUCAGUGUUGUUUUCAUCAUUUCCUGCUUAAACUUCCAAAUGUGCAGGAUCAAGUUUCAAAUUGUUGUCCUGGCUUAUUAGGCACAAAUCACUUGAUUAUUUUGUUGAUAAGGAGCUGGAGGAAAUGAUCAGAAUAAAAUAUUAUGACGCACUCCAUUCCCCGUUCAAGAAUGAAACCAAUUAAGAUGUUGACAAACAUCUUUUCUCAAUUUAAGCCUAAUUUUUACUCCCUCCGUCCCACCAGGUUCUUUACGUUACUUUUCGGCACGCAUUUUAAGACUCUUAUAAAAUAUAGUUCUAUAAUGUGUUUUUUUAUAAAAAAAAUCCUGAAAAAAAGUUUGAGGUUUAAACUUUUAUUCAAAAAAAAAUAAUUUAAAAAAACGUUAUUGAACUAUACUUUAUAAGAGCCUCAAAAUGCGUGCAAACAGUGAACGUAAGCUUCCUGCUGGGACGGAGGGAGUAUCUGUUAACAAGAACAAGUGAAUUCAAUUUAUAUGUAGAUUAUGUAGGUAAGUGGUUAUGCCAUACUUCUAUUUUUGUAACUUGCUAUCCUCUAACUCGAGCUUCAUUUCAUUACCUUGCAGCAACAGAAAAAGCCCAGAAUAUAUAUUGGAUGCAUGAAGUCUGGUCCAGUCCUUGCCCAAAAGUAAGUCUAUUUGUAAGCUAAACAUCUUUAGAUUUUUCUUAUUUUCUUAUACAAGUAUAUGGGUGAAAGGUUUCUAAUAUUAAAAUCAAAUUAUUAAUCCUAAUAUAGUAGAUGCCAGUAGUCUUAGCUAUAAAAAGCAAAGUUAAAUACAUCUACUGAUUAAAACUGUUAAGUUUUAAAGGUCUCGCAAGGACUACUGCAGUAGAAUCUGACCGGAUUGUCGGUGAGUUUCUGCAGCAGUUGUAGGAAAAAUAUGUAAAGGGUGAAAUUGAAGAUAUAUUAGGGGAAGUUGCAUGGACUAGGGGUCCAAAUGCGAUACAGUGAGUUCUUGUUUACUUAAGAUUGCAAUUAAAUCCCAAAUAACUUGUUUGACCACUUCACUGGUAGGACAUUGGACAAAACUAUAUCAAAUUAUGGAGUAAGGCUCGCUGCAGCUAGAGCAGCGCAGGACUCUAUUUUAAGUGGUUCUCCGGAACCAGCAGUUUAUAUGUAUACAGUACUAUACCAAAUUGCCAAAUAUAGCAGCAGUUUAGGUGGACACCUGUUUAUAGCAUGUGCUGGAUGGUAAGUUUGUCACCUUCUUUUCCUAUGCUAACUCUAUACAUGAUACAUUUUAUAAAAAUAGAAAUGUACGUUUUAUUUCGAGCUUAAAUAUCAACAGCGUUUGUAUUUGGACCUUCAUUUUACUUUUUUUCUAGCAAUGUUCAAUGCUGGCAGUAUCAUCAGUAGAUUCACCAGGACUGCUGAUGAACUCUUUGGCAUGUUGAUUGUUUUUCUAUUCAUCCAACAGGCCAUCAAAGUAGUGUUUAGAGCCAGAAACAAGAUAUAGUCAUUGUUGGACAUGGAAUUGCAGGCCUGGCUACUGCUACACAGGUUACAAAAUUCAAGAUUCUGUAUAUUCCCUUCUGCCAGUAUGUUAUUGUAUGCAUGCAAACCGUAAAGUUACCUAAAAACUUAGUUGUUGGAACUAGAUAAGAAAUUUAAAUUCAGAUUUUAUUACUCUUACAUUUCUUGUAGAGCUAGCUGGGUGAAGAAACUGGUUUGUGGAAUGUUGUUUUUGACUAAAUUUCAUAAUCAACUCGGAUGCAAGUGUGGCCCCAGUUCUUACACAUGUUAUGUAUAAGACCUCUACUUACAAUGUAAAGAUGCUGUUCAUUUAAACCGGACAUUUGGUACUUCUACAAUGACAGUCUCACUCGAUAGUUCAGCACAUAGUAGGCUUCAGCAAUAAAGUCCAAGAAAAUAGGAAUGCAAAUCUAGCUUAAGAUGACAUUCACACAUCUAUAGUCUAUACACUUAAGAGCAAGUCCAAUGCUAGAUGCUAUAUAUCUAUUGCUAUUGCUAUAAUAUAGCACCAAAAAGUGUUUUUUGGUGCUAAAAUAAAACUUGCACUCCAAUGCUAAGUUCUAUAACUAGUUUCAAAUUCAACCAACUCAUUAACUUUUACCUAACUCAUUAACUAGUUUCCAAUUUCUAUUUAUUGACGAUGUGGCAACAUGGAUGGAUCCAUCCUUGGUUUCAAAUAUAGAACCAAGGAUGCAUCUAUGCAUGGAUGCAUUUAAAUAUAGCUCCCCUUUGGAGUUGAUUUUUUUACUUUUGAUGCUAUAAUAUAGCAAUAGAACCAAGUAUAGCAUUGCAUUGGAGUUGCUCUAAAAGAGUAAUCAAGUUUGCUGAAAUUGAUUACGUGCGUCAAAAAAAAGAUACUAGCCUCCACAUUGCUGAUGAUCUGGUAAUGGGUAUAUAACUACACAAACAAUAAUAUCCUCUUAUAAUUAUUUACUUGCUUAGAAAUUGAAUAUGGAGAUGUGGAAUUGGGGUUUGAUUUAAUUAGGGGAAGAGCGAAACUUAGCCUAAAAGAUAAGUGGAGGAGAGCGACAAGUAGUCUUAGUGUUAAAGAGAUGAUGAUCUUCUGCGCAGAGAGAGUUGAUCUCAAGAAUAUGGAUGUUCAGUUAGAGAAGCACUUGAAUAGGAUUCCGUCAAUUAACUUGUAACCAUAUUUGCCUCUGCCUAAAGAAGAUUGGGAGCUUGAUCUAUGUAAGCUGGAGAUAAAAUACUAUAAAGCUCUAGGCACUUUUGAUCCUGUAUAUAGGGGCACAUAUGAGGAAACAGAUGCUACCUUUCAAGAAUUUAUUUGUGAUUUUUUUUGGUUAUCUAACUUGUGUUUUCUUACCAUUCUCGCAUUCUCUUUGUAAUAUGUUUCAGCUACUCUAAUACAAUUGGAUGCAUUAGUUCUCUUUUUAAGAAAAUUGUCUUUCAAAGUAGUUGGGAUAAAUUGAAGCUUGCUAUUGUUUUGUAUGAUUACUUUUUAUACCUUUUUAUUUAAUUAUCUGAAAGAUCUCACCAAACUUCGUCAUUCUUAUAUCACAGUGAAGCUGCUGGAUUGGGGAGAGGACGGGAAGGCCAUUAGUGCAGAAACUGCAGCUGUGAUGUAAUCGUAUUUAGAGAAGGAUCAAUUACAUUUAACAUACGGUAAAUCUAAUUUUCACCUCCUCGGUUACAGAUAGAUAUAAGAAGUGAUAAUAUAUAUAAACUACGAUAUCAGACGAAGCCUUCAGGACAUUGAUUCAUUAGGUAGUAGUGUAGUACUACCAUUCCCAAAUUAAUUUUUCUUCUGAAAUAAAAACUGAAUUAAAUAACAAACUGUAGAGCAGGAAGUGGUAGGGAUAGCAAGUAUGACUAGGAGUCAAAUUAGUACCAAAAAUCAGUAUAGGCUGGAGGUCAUUGAUAUCACAUAACCAAUAAGCCAUUAAUAUUUAAGAUUAACCAAGACACUUGUUUGGGACAAAAUAUAUAAUCUAAGACUAAUAGUAACCAUGAAGGAUCAAAAUGAUUAUCAAAUUGAAGGUAGAUUGAAACAACCAAUAUUUUCCAUUAAUACCCUACAAAAAGUCUAUGCCUGACAAAAACUCUACCAGGAACUGCAUUACAUGGAAUCUUAAAUUUUAAAGUUACACAACAUGUAAUAUUAUGCAUAUAAGCAGACAAUAUCCGCAACCAUUCGACAACUCAAACUAGACCUGUUGUGGUAAAUAGAAAGGGGUUCUCUGUUCUCUUAACUUUUCACCUGUUCAUAUUAAAAUUAAUACAUGAUGCACACUACACAGAGUAUAAACUACUGAUAACAAGAAAGGAAACAACUUGGUGAUGAGAGUUGAGACUAAAUACCUCCUUGGUUACUGUAAGAUACUUAAUUUUCAAAGUGAAGUCAAUGACUUGGAUGGAUUUGAUUCCGGUUACUUAUACUGCAAAGAUGUGCUCCCACUAACAAAAUGUUUAUUUAUUUAUUGUUUUUGUCAAGUAAUAAUAUAGGGUUCCAUGUCUCUGAGACUCUGACAAUAUAUUUCUGCAACAAUCUAUCCGCGGUUUUUACCACCGACACACUAUCUAUUUUUUAUGUGAAUGCAAGGUGUCAUGUUACUUAUCUGCUCUUUAGAUACCCAUUCUGGGGUUUCUAUCUUUCCACUAUAAAUAAGCUUAAUGUUAAUUAUCCACUAAAAGUUUUUGAUGAAUAAUCUAUUUAUCGGCAUGACUCAGGGAAUCUAUCUAUUCUAUAUGUAAUAGGAGAGCUAGGGUCUAAAAUAAUGAGAUAUUUUGUUUUAAAAAAAUUGUGAGACAUCAUGUAAAAGUACAUUAGCGCCCCUUUAUACUUUGUCUAAUGCACAACCAUUUUGCUUCACAUUCAGCGACGGUCUUGGUGAUGAUAACACGAGGGCGACCACCUCCUUGUUGGGGGAUCCAUGCACCACGAAGAGGCUAAAGUCGCUGCGAAGGAUGAGGCGGAGCUCAGGAACGACCAAGCAAAACAGGAGGGAGGUGGAAAGGAUGACAAACGGAACUGGAAAGUAAACAGGCACGUAAUCAAGAGGCAAAUAAAGGGGGACACCUAGGCAGGAACAGGGGUAGAUUGGUAAAUCACAGAAGAUUAAAAUGUGACAUGUUGUGUAAUAAAUUUUAGAAAUUAUAUUUUGAACUCAUGUACAAAUUGCAGAGUUAUAUAAAGCACAGAUCGGUUCUAAGCGGGUCAGUAAGUGGAUUAAAUAUAUAUGUGAAUAUUCAGUUGUAAUAUUAGUAUAUUUAAAUAUAAAAUCAUGUCGUGAUAAGAAUUUAAAUUUAUAAUAUUUUUGAUAAGACUCCCUGUGCCCCCUGAAUUGUAUACAACUGUACACGACACUCAUUUUAAUACUCUCUUAAAAUAUAGUUUUAUAACUUAUUUUUAAGAUUUCUUUUUUUUUUUUAAAAUCCAAAUUUGACAUAUAAAUUUUUAUUGAGAAAAAAAAAAUUUAAAAAUAAACAUUAAAGUGCGUACCGAGCAGUGAAAAAAUGUAUAGAAAUGAGUAAGGAGUGAGUAUAUUUGUUUUUAAUUUUUAUAUAUACUUACGAUUACGUUAUAAAAAUAAUAUUUUAAAAUUAAAAAAAUAGCAACUAAACAUCAUUUUUACUGGUUUAUUCCACUUAACGACCGCUUAAGCAGCUUAAUUUUAAACAAUACUUUUCCCCCGCUUAGUACAAAAGCUAAGCAUUUACGCGUAGUUUCAGUCUAGCCGACAACUUACUUGGUUGCUUAAGACGCUUUCCAGAGAGUGACAAAUUGAUAUUUAAUUUCAAAUUUAAAACUUAAUCAAAAAUUUGUGUAUUAGUGUCAUCACAAUCAUUCUUUUUUUUUUUUUAGUAAUACUUGUCAAAUUCAGGAUUUGUAUUUCUAUUUCAAAUAGUCAUUCUAUAAAUCUAUAAUAAAACACUCUUUAUUACUUCACGAUAAACUUUGUGCAAGGAAUAUAUGUGGUUUUAAUUAUAUAUUAAGGUCGAAUUUAGAUAUACACAUAUGUUCAAUUUGAUUGUGUUGGUCGUUAUGUUUGAAUUGAUCUCACUGAUUUUUUUAGUCGAUUAACUAGCUUUGUUUUAUAUUGGUUUAAGUUUUACGAAAACCCCUUUUGUAUUUGACAUUUUGCAGAUAUGUAUCUUUUAAAUAGAAGAUUAUCAAAUAUAUUCAUAUCCCAGAUAUUUCUGCUCGUAGAACAUGCAUGAUAUUUGGGUGUUCAAUAUAAUAGUGGUUUUAAUCCAACUUUUAUUAUAAAAAAUGGAUUUAUAAAAAAUUGAGUGAAAUAUUAUAAAUUAUAAUGCAUAUAAAAGAUACAGUUGAAAUAAUGAAAUAUUAUUCUUUAAUGUUUUAAUAAUUAAAAAAUUAUUUAAAUUAUUUUAUAAAAUAUUAAUUUCGAUAUAAUAUACAGCCCGUGCCUUGCACGGGUUUUUACGCUAGUUUUUUGAUCAAUUUAGUGAUAUUGCUCGGUUUUCAUUCGAUACAUUCAUAUUUAAUAGGUAGGGUCAGGGUCCGGGUCCACACAUUCAAUAUCAGGACAUACUGUCAACGGGAAAAAACCGCUAGACGUUUUAAUCCUGAAUUUUUGAUGAAUGUGCAGGGGUGCUACGGUGGAUUCAACAGAAAAUUGUCUCACUCUAGGGUUUUUCUCAUUCAACAGCAUCUUUUUUUUUCAUCGGAAUUAUGCUACUGACGUUUUGACUAUUCUCGACCUUAGCAGGUGUUUGUUUUUACCAAAAUUUGCAGGGUUAAAAGCCAAGCCUAUUUAAUUUCUAUAACAAUGAAGUACGUGUUUUUGUGUAUGAAUAAUUAAAAGAUCGAAUGGAUGAAUAUCGAAAAGAAAAUAAAAGACAAGAACACAAUCAAUUUUGGUGACGCGGAAAACCCCUUGUAAAAGGUUAAAAACCGCGGGUGGGAAUGUCCCAGCCAAAUAUCCACUAUAAUGUUGUAAUAUCAGCUUACAAGUAUGAGAAAUACAAGAUAAAAGCAUAAAAAGAUGUUGUCAUCAGCUCCAAAGGAGUUCACGUUCGUCAUCAAUGUGCACCCGUCGGCAGCAGAGAGUUCCCGUCGGCAGCAUGACUUGAGAGAGAUGAAGAUGUGUAAUCUCAGUUGGUAGAAGAUGAAGAAUCUCAGCUAUUGUAUGUUAAUGUAUGUAUGUGUACGUGCAUUGGUUUGUAUAUCUAGGGCUUGAUUUAGGGUUUACAAGUAAGAAAAAGAACGAUAUUAGGUAGAAGAUGAAGUUGUAGGCUUAUAGAAGUGGAUUGAUGAUGAUAAUGAUUCUGAGUUGUAGUGCAGUUAUGUAGUAUGUGGGAGAUAUAUCAGAAUGUGUAAUGUAGUUAUCCUCUCAUACAUAUUUGAGGCUAUAUAUAGCUCAUGUAGUUAGACUCCUACUCUCCCUCUAACUCCUAUUUUUCCUCCUUUUCUUGCUCCACGUGCAUGUUAACUCCCUCCUAUAUUGCUGGCACUUCUUCAACUACUGUUUGAAUUCUCCUCCUAAAUAGGUGGGCUUGUUAGGACUCAGUCUUCAUGCUUAUCCACUUGUUACAUCACAGUUGCUUUCUCGUCAUGUCGAUGAUUCAUCCCGUCAUGUUCAUGCAUGUCCCGUCAUGUCUUGACACCUGUAAAAUCUGGGUACAAACAAUAGCCCCUAAUUUUAUUGGGUGGAGACAUGCAGCCAAUGAAAUUACGUCUUGAAUACUCUGUUUUCCUCUGAUCAAUGCAAAUAGGAACACCGAUGCUAUGUGAAAAUACCGACGCUUGCAACACAUGAUCACGUCAUGUCGAUUUGUCUUGUUCGCUAUUGUCUUGUAUCAAAUCUCUAUCUCGUUGUGUCGUUAUAACGUCAUCUCGAGUUGUCAUCAUUGUCCAGAUCUUCUAAUGGUGAAAACACCGAUGAGUAGAUGCUCUGUUGUCGUCAUAUUCACGUUCUAAGAUAAGAACCUUUGUAUACGCUCUAGUUGUUUAUAGGCUCGUAUGUAGUUGAAAUCAACCCCGUAAUAUUAACAUGUCAAGUUGUAUGAUGUUGCUUUGCAUUAUAUAUGUAAAGCCCCUUGUAGAUGUCUUCUGACAUGUGUAAGAUAUUGUAUAUAUCUUGUCAUUGUCAGUUGCAUAUUUUGAUGUGUCCAUGACUUGAAAUUGGUUCAUGUGACCCCUUAAUUGGGAGUGACUAUGACGUAAUGGAUAGGAGUACCAACACGUAAAGUGUUUUAAAACAUGUCUUCCGUUCGUAAUAUGUAAUUUGUAGACCUGAUGUGUAACUCGUCAUCAUAGCUAUAACGUGAUAUGAUGUUUGUAACUGUAUAUGUCACUUAUAAUUAUAAUGUGUGACAUGUGGUUUAAUUUGUCAUGACACGUGUAGGUGGUGACAUGUAGAAAUGUAUAUUGGUAUUUAUAUGUAAUGUGCUCGACUAAGGGUCAUGACUAGUGUAAUUUCGUGGAGCAUUCGUCGUCAUCAUAUGUUAAAUACGUCGAUGUAUAUAAACUUGUGAUAUGCGUAAUUGUAGUCGACAAAUUUAUUUUUUAUAACGUUGGUGCACGUAGUAUAUGUAUUCGACAAAUAUAUAUAUUCAAUGAAUAUAUAAUUUUCAGACGUUGAUGCAUGUAGUAUAUAUAUUCGACAAAUAUUUAAUUUUCAAACGUUGAUGUAUUCGACAAAUAUGUUUAUUUUCAAACGUCGAUGCAUGCAUUCGUAGGCUAGUUAAAAGGCCUUUCCCUCUUGAAACUUAGCUCGUAAUUGUAAUUGUGAUUAUGUAAUUAUUAAAUACAUAAUGUUGAAAUGCAUCAUUAUUCGUGGCGUCGUAAGUUAUUUGUGUAAUGUGUAGUGUUGUCGUCACCAUCAUUCGAUAAUGAUCAACCGUAGUAGGAUGGGUGAUCAGCCCUCCUUGUCUAUUAAUAUGUAUCUAAAAUAUACUCAUGCAAUAUCAUGUCACAAUAAAUAUCAUGAUGAAGACGUCAACUUUAAGCAGUUAAACAUGGACAAUUUAGAAUAACUUGCAUAACAUAUUUCAAGACACAUAUCUAUCAAGUAGAGUAGCAAGUCAUGUAAGAAACAAGCACAUGUGACAUUAUGCUUAGAUCACAAAUCAUUCAAGCAAACAUUUAUUCGAAGCAUGAAAUAUCAUCUGAAUGGCAUAAGCCCAAGUAAAGAUCGUAAUCGACUUAUUAUCAUAUUGCUACAGACUAAGAGAAUAAAGAGGAUGAGUUCACUUACAUGUGAUAAAGCUUCAAAAGUAGCAUGUUCAAGCCCCUGGGGACUUGUAAUUCGUAAUGUCUUGUUGAAUCAGGUUGAAGUCGUCGGACACUUCCAAAGGCGUCAAUGAUUCAUGUCCCGUCAUGAUGUUGACUGUCAUGUCAGUUUACGGAUAUGUCCAUAAGUUGAUGAGGUUGUACCCCUUUCUGGGUAUAUGUCUUGUACCACGUUCGCCUUGUCAUCAAGCUAACCUUAAUUAAGUAUUUUGGACUGGUCGAUAGUCCAUUUUUGAUUCUUUCUUCUAGUUUAUCUUUCGUGGUCAUGUCAUGUCUUUUUUACUUCACAUCAUGUUGAACCAGUGAUGUCGAUCGUGUUUAGGGUAUGCUAUAUUGUCCCCUUGUGGCGAUUUUAGGACAAGUCCCAAUCAUGUCCUGUUGAGAUAGUAGAUUUGGACUGAAAUCAGCCACAAAAUUAGCAAAAUAUGUGACUCGAUCGUUGUUUGUGACUCAUAGGUGAUAAUGUAUUCGACAUGAUCUGUCAUGUUUCUAGAGUUCAUGUCUAGUUGUCACGUCGAUCAUCAUGUCAAGACUUCAUGUCCAACUGUCACGUUGUUAUUUUUACACUGUCACCAUGUUUGCUAGUCAUUCUGGACACUCGACUUCAUGUAUGAUGUCCCUUUUGAUUUAGUUGUUUGCUUUUCGAGUGAUUAUCAUAAUGCUGUUUGAUUUCCAUUUGACAUGUAUGCGGUUUGAGUUGUCAUCAUUUAACUUGUGUAUGUUCAUGUCGAGGCUGCUACCCAUCAUGCCGUCUUGAUCCCAAACGAAGGUGUCCAUUCUUUCUGUCAAAAAAUCAAUUAUGUCGGUUUCUCUCUUUGGUGUCAUGUCAUGUCCUCUUGUGGUGUUGUUUUUUGUCGUUUAGAUGUCAUCCAUGUCGUGUUGGUCAUGUUGUGUCACGUGUGAUUUACUAGUUCCCGUCAGACGUGAUGAGAUUAGUGUAACUUGUUCAUGUCAAUCUAGUCGUACAUGUCAUGGUCGUUUGUGGUCACUUCAAUUCAGCCAACCCGUCGGACAUCCCCAUGUUUGUAACUAGAAAUCUUCUCGCCAUGUCAACCAAAGUGAUGUGAUAUAGAAAAUCAGUGUAUCCAUGAUGCCUAUCUCUUGUAGCCCCUUUUGAACCGAUUAAUAUGCGCGUCGACGUGAACUCCAAGCCUAUUUAAUUUCUAUAACAAUGAAGUACGUGUUUUUGUGUAUGAAUAAUUAAAAGAUCGAAUGGAUGAAUAUCGAAAAGAAAAUAAAAGACAAGAACACAAUCAAUUUUGGUGACGCGGAAAACCCCUUGUAAAAGGUUAAAAACCGCGGGUGGGAAUGUCCCAGCCAAAUAUCCACUAUAAUGUUGUAAUAUCAGCUUACAAGUAUGAGAAAUACAAGAUAAAAGCAUAAAAAGAUGUUGUCAUCAGCUCCAAAGGAGUUCACGUUCGUCAUCAAUGUGCACCCGUCGGCAGCAGAGAGUUCCCGUCGGCAGCAUGACUUGAGAGAGAUGAAGAUGUGUAAUCUCAGUUGGUAGAAGAUGAAGAAUCUCAGCUAUUGUAUGUUAAUGUAUGUAUGUGUACGUGCAUUGGUUUGUAUAUCUAGGGCUUGAUUUAGGGUUUACAAGUAAGAAAAAGAACGAUAUUAGGUAGAAGAUGAAGUUGUAGGCUUAUAGAAGUGGAUUGAUGAUGAUAAUGAUUCUGAGUUGUGGUGCAGUUAUGUAGUAUGUGGGAGAUAUAUCAGAAUGUGUAAUGUAGUUAUCCUCUCAUACAUAUUUGAGGCUAUAUAUAGCUCAUGUAGUUAGACUCCUACUCUCCCUCUAACUCCUAUUUUUCCUCCUUUUCUUGCUCCACGUGCAUGUUAACUCCCUCCUAUAUUGCUGGCACUUCUUCAACUACUGUUUGAAUUCUCCUCCUAAAUAGGUGGGCUUGUUAGGACUCAGUCUUCAUGCUUAUCCACUUGUUACAUCACAGUUGCUUUCUCGUCAUGUCGAUGAUUCAUCCCGUCAUGUUCAUGCAUGUCCCGUCAUGUCUUGACACCUGUAAAAUCUGGGUACAAACAGUGUUGUUCAGAAGUUGUCAGACUGCAUUAUUCCUUCUCCAUCCACCACUCAUCUCAAACUAAAACAAUUACUUGGUUUCGACAAACUUCACCAUGUUUUUUUGAUGAUUACUAAUAUAAUUUUGAGUUCAGUUGUGGAUAUCGAUAAUAAUAAACUAAUAUCUUGAAUAAUAACUUGAAACUUACUACAUCAAUUCUUUCUUUGACGGAACUUUACUCGGAUAAUCAUGAAAAUAAAAUUCAUAAAAUAAUUUUGUCAAAUUAAAAUUUAUUUGGUUACUACAUUGAUGAUAAUAAUAAACUAAUAUCUUGAAACUUACUACAUCAAUUCUCUGUUUGGGAACUUUAAUCGAAUUCAAGUUCGACCGGGCCUUUAAUUUCAAGUUCGAAGCUCGGCUCGUAAAUAGUUCGAUAGGCUCGAGUUCGUCUCGAAACCUCGAAUCGAGUCACCAAAUAUUGACAAAAACUCGAAUUAUGAUUGGUUCGACUCGAAUUCGAUCCGAUAAAAUAUAUAAAUUAUAAAUAAAAUAUUAAAUAUAUUUGUUAAAAUAUAUUUAUAAUAAAAAAUUAAAAAAUAAUAGAGGUUCGAUAAGGCUAGCGAACCUUACGAGCCGAGUAAUUUGAAGCUCGAGCUCGGCUCGGUAAAACAUCCAAAUAGCUCGAGCUCGAGCUCGGCUCUAUUAUUACCGAAUCAAAUUCGAAUAUUUACCGAGCCGAGCUCGAGUAGCUCACGAACAGUUUGGUUUGUUUACACCCCUAGAAUCAGCUACAUGGUUUGUAUAUUCCAAACCCAUACUUGGUGUUUGGUUGGUAAAUACAAAAUCUCAAACACAUAUCUUAAACCCUCAAGAUAAGGAUUUUUGAUACCAAGGGGGAGGUGGAUAUGAGAUGGAGGUAUGAGAUAGCAUUUAUUUUUGAUUUUGUUAAUGAAAUAAUAAUGUUUAAUACAAAAUUAAAUCAGUGAUGCAAAAAUAUAUGACAACAAUAAUUUCAUUAAUAUUUUUAAUUAAUAUAAAUUAAUAACUUUGAAAAAUAAUUGUAUAUUUUGAUUCAAUCACUCAGCCAAACACACACAUGUUAUCAGCCAAUUCUAAUUUAACCUCAUAUCAGUCCUCCUCGAACCAAACCAUCCCUAAUAGUUACUUGUAUGGUUGAUCUUUUAAGAUAGUCUCAUAAGAAAAUGCCUGAGAUUGAGAAGUUAUCGAAUGUGAUGGAUGUCUAAUGUGAUGCAACCGUAUCUACAAAUAUUGCUUUCACCAUAUGGAGUACAUGAAGUUGCAGAUUUGGAUAAGAGGGCAGUAGAGCCCCUAUUUAAAUUGGACCCGUAAAAUCUUACAAGAAUAUUGAAAAUGAAAGACAUUUUUAAAGGGAUAAAUAUCAAGUAGGUCACUCGUUUCGUCUAAAUGUAUCAAUUGAGUCACUGAUUUCCAAAUUGACUCAAAUAAGACACUAAUUAGAAAAAUUUGUAUCAAAAAUAUCAUUCUAUCGUUAGUCGAAAUUUUGAAAGUAUUAUAUAUUGAGUUUUGCACAUUUUUUAUGAAUGGUAUUACAUCCAAAUGAAAGAUUCCGAAUUCUACUAUUUUCGCUAAUAUUUUUAUAUUUUUAUGAAUGGUAUUAAAAUAAAAUGUGUAUUUCAUCAAAUACACAUCUUUACGUCCGAGGACAUCAACAUGCUGACACAGGGAGGAUGGGAAUAGCUCGGAGCUUAAGCACCUAGUGCCAAAAAAAAGAAAAGAAAAUUAAUAAGAAAAAUAAAAUUUUAUAUAUACAAAAGCACCUUCUAAAUCCUUUUAAAAGUGUAUAAUAGUAGUUUUGAUAUGUAUUACCUUGUAUUAAUAUAAAAAAUAUCAACAUUUGAGAUUAUUUUUUCAAUAAUAAUUAAAUUUUUAUUUAUCAAAUCAUGAAUCCACGUUGGUCGCUAUGCUGACUUGAUACACAAUCAUGCAUCAAUCAUAUGUCAAGUUGUCAGAAAAUGUAGUCAGAGAUCGCUCAAUAGAACAUAUGAGAUGAACCCAUGAAAGCCAUAGUAGAUAUAUGUGUCAAGUCUCGUAAAGAGCGAGAAUCAAAUUUAAGUGUAAUCGAUAAAUUGAUAGGAUAUUUUAAAAUAUUUAUACGGAUUAUUUAAUAUUGUUUACUAAAUCGGAAUUUUCAAAAUUUGUUUAAAGCCCGUACUGUUUGAGAGGGUUGUUCAAAGAAUUAUUCAAAACUUGUCUGUCAAGUCUACACGAUCAAUUUAAGAGGUUGUUCAACUGUCGUGCCGUUAGAAAAAGUACUUAUUAUAUAACUGUUUGACACUACUCAUAACGGACCAAUUGCAUUUACCACCUACUCGAUUUCUCAACUUCCCAUUUCUGCUUAGAGAGGCUUCAGCAAUGGCUGUCAAGAGAGGAGCUUCUCUCACAAUGACUUGUUUCAGCUUAACCCCUCCAAUUAUAAGCCCUUGUUCUCUUUUACCCGCUCUUUUUCAUUCUCAUUUUCUUCCUUUCUCUACUAAACCUAACUCUAAUUUACAACCCAAACCCGCCUUUAUUCCUUCUCCAUCCACCACUCAUCCCAAACUAAAACAAUUACUCUAUCAUAAAUCUAAGCUUGGUUUUGAUAAACUCCACGAUGCUCUUCUUGUGUUCGAUCAAAUGCUCCUUCUAAAAUAUAGGCUUUCUGUUGUGGAUUUCACACAACUGUUAACCGCCCUGGUUCGAAUGGAAGAGUACUCAGUUGCCGUCUCCAUGUUUAGAGAAUUCCGUGUUUUAAGCAUUCCUGUUAAUAUUGUUACCUUUACUACUGCCAUACAUUCAUGUUGUCAUUUGAACACACUUGAUUAUGCCUUUUCAUUGCUUGCUGUAAUCAUCAAGAGUGGUCAUGUCCCCAAUGUUGUGACCUACAACACUCUCAUCAAGGGCCUUCUAUCUCAAGACAGGCCUUUGGAGGCCAGGGAUUUGUUUAAGAAGCUUAUCAUGUUUCAAGAAAUUCAGCCCAAUGUAGUUAUGUAUAACACCAUCAUUGAUGGUCUCUGCAAGACUUCAAAUACCUCCAUGGCUCUCAAGUUGUUAAGAAAGAUGGAGGAGAUAGGUUGUAACCCCGAUGCGGUAACUUAUACCUCAAUUAUUGAUUCUUUGUGCAAAGAGAGACGAGUCGAUCAUGCAUUGGUUCUUUUGUCGGAAAUGACCGACAAAGGCAUAUCACCUAAUGUUAUAACCUAUAGCACGCUACUUCAAGGUCUUUGCAGCUCCGGCCGAUGGGAGGACACUGAGAGUUUGUUAACAGAGAUGGGGGUUAGGAAGAUCUCUCCAAACUUGCACACCUAUAAUAUAUUAGUUGAUGCACACUGCAAAGAAGGGAGGACAACAGAUGCAGAAGAUGUAAUUGAAAUUAUGAUCCAGAAAGGUGUCUUUCCUGAUUCAAUCACCUGCAAUGCACUAAUGGGUGGAUUUUGUUUAACAGGCAAAAUGGACAGGGCAUUAGAGGUGCUGAAUACCAUGAGGAGUAAUGGGAUAGCGCCAGAUCGUUAUAAUUAUACCAUUCUGAUAAAUGGCUAUUGUAAGAGGCAGGAACUAGACAAAGCCAUCAAUCUCCUCGAACAAAUGCAUGUUGAAGCUAUAAAACCCGAUGUUCAAACCUACAAUACACUGAUGCAUGGUCUCUUUCAGACGGGUAGACAUGUUGAGGCGCACAACCUUUUCCAUGAAAUGCUAAAAAAAGGUAAUAAAUCAGAUCUCGCAACAUGUCGAAUUCUCUUAGACGGCCUUUGCAAGAACCGAUACAUGGAUGAUGCAAUCUCCUUCUUUCGAAUGAUGGAAUGUGAAGGUAUAGUACAUGAUAUUCAAAUACAUAAUAUCCUAAUUGAUGGUCUCUGCAAGAUCAGAAAGCUUAAUAAGGCCAGAAUUAUUUUUGAUAAGCUUGCUUCGAGUGGUUUGCAACCUGACGUCAUAACACACAACAUAAUGAUCAGAGGACUUUGUCAAGAAGGGUUAUUUGAGGAAGCAAAGGAAUUACUUUCUAAAAUGGAAACGAGCAUUUGUUUGCCUAAUGAUGUGACUUAUAAUACGAUCAUCCGUGGAAGUCUUUUGAAUAAAAGAUAUGAAGAAGCAGCUGUACUGAUAGAGAACAUGCGAGCUCGUAAAUUUUCAGAAGAUGCAUCUACCACAUCCAUGGUACUGGACCUAUUAUCUAAAGAAGAACAAGACCCCUCCGUUCUUGCGUUCUGCAGAUGGUUUUUGCAAUAGGUACUGAAGUUUAUGGUUCAUUGUUAACUUCCUUAAGUUUUCUGCUGUAGUAAUAUGUUUUACUGAGCAAAGAAUUAUUCUAAUUAGCAAUGUAAGGGGUUCCAUCAGUUUGUUAAGAGCAAAUAGACAAUAUAUUUGAGACAGUAAGACUAUGUCUUCUAUUUGUAUUGAGUACGGUCUAUGUUCAAGUUGUCAUUCAGAAUUGAAACUUUGCAUCUCGAUGCCUCUUAUAUACAGAAAAAGAAAUCAGCAUUUGAAAAUAAUAAAAGAAGCCUAUGUAAUACUGAAUCUAAGGGUGUGUGGGGAUUGCCAUAUUGCUAUGAAAUUUUUAUCAAAAGUUUUUGAGAGGCUAUCAUAUAAGGGACUCGCACUGUUCCCAUCAUUUCAGUGAACGAAAAUGUUCUUGUGGUGAUUACUAGUAUAAAGUUCUUAUAUGUGUUUCCUUUUCCUCUCCAAUUUAUAUCUUGGUCAAGAGAAUGGAGGGCUCCAUUCCUUAACUCAUUGGUGUACGAUUUAGACAUUACAUUGCAAAAUCAAACUCUGCUUGCACCCUUCCCGCUUUAAUGUGAAAACGUAAGAUCACAAUCUUCCUGCUUUGUUAUGGCCCCAGCAGCUAAAUAUGGUUAAAUGAAUCUAAAGGUGCUGGACAGUUAAACAGGAGCACAAAUGCACAAUGGCACCGGGAUACAUUGAAGGUAUGUCAAAACUUUUUCUUUUGACAAUUACAUAGCCAGUAGAAGUAGUGUGCACUGCAAAAACUAAUGAAAAUAUACAAUCCAUAAGUAAACAGAAUGGAAUGCAGAUUCAGUAUUGUUUUACUGAAUUUUGGUUCUUAUUAUCAUAUACCAAAGUAAUAUGUGACAAAAGCAAAUCCGUUGAUCCUUAAAUAUUUCUUAAAUAUCGGCUCUUGGUUUAUCUCAUCCUAUCAGUUUGCGGUGCAAUAUUAUUACCGUAUUGAAGCAAUGACUGAUAAAUCUUGACAUUUAAUUGCUAUAUUCCUGAACUGACAGAUCAUUUUAUACUCUGUGCACCACUACUCCGAAUUAAUUUACCUAGCUAAUAGCGAAGGUACCAUUGCUUAGAGAAAUACUAAUAUCUAACUAAUGUACACUUUUGGAUAAUUUGCAGGCUUAUAUACUUAGAAAUAGAAGCAGAAGCUUGAUGUCAAAGUCAAUAAUAAUAACUUGUAAUUUCUGAAUUUUAUUUUUAAGCAAAAGUUAAAGGAUAUGCUAAAAAUGCAGGUUAACUGACAUCCACUAGUAUAUUUAUCUACAAUUUUGUGCCUACACAGUCUCGAGUAAAAAUAAAUGAUGCAUAGUACUGGACUUCAGAUACUGCCAAUUGUAACGAGAUCCAUCCAUUUUACUUUUGAGACAUCAAGAAACUGGGAGCCGAAAGUGUUGCUUAGUAAAUAUGCACUAUGCUGAAGAUCACUUGUGAGUGUGUUUGCAUAAGUAGUAAUCACGAGUUUCUACUUCAUGGAAAUUUUGAUGGGACGUGUUUGCGGUGUUUGGUAUAACCUACACUUGUCAUAGUGGGUGUUUGGCACGGGCUUAUAAGCCCCGGCUUCUGAAUUAUAAGUUAGAAGCACUUAUUUGUACCGUUUGUGUAAAAAGUCAAGAAGUACUUAAAAAAAGCUAUGAUUACUAGCUUUUGUCCCACCGCUUCUACUUAUUUUCCAAACACUUUUAUCACUUAUAAGUCUUAACUUGCUUCUAACUUCUAUUUCACUUUUUUAUUUUAAGCAAUAAGCACUUAUUUUAAGCUCAUCCAAACGGUCCCAUAAUAUUCUUCUUAUUUGUUAUUUGAUUUAGGUACUGUUUGGGGUUGCUGUUGCAGACAGCAACAGCAGCUUUUUGCUGAAAAGCAGGUGAAAAACUGUUUGGUAAAUACAAAAACAAUUUUUCCGAACAACAACUUUUAGCUGAAAAGCUGCUGUUAGAAAAAGCAGGUCCUCCCAUGCUUUUGGAAAAAGCUGCUUUUCAUCUUUUGCAGAAUGCUGUUAUAAAUUUCAUUAUAAAACUUUACCAAAAACAUUAUUUUUAUUUAUAUUAUAACUCAAAAUAAGUAAAUAUCAAAAAAUUACCAAACAGUUAUCUGAUUUCUACAACAGCACUUAUUUUACCAGCACUUUUUCUGACAGCACAGCAAUUUUCCCAAACAGACCCUUAGUGAUAUUGCCCGGUUUUCAUUCUAUGCAUUCAUAUUUAGUAGGUAGGGUCCGGGUCCCUCACAUUCAAUAUCAGGGCAUAUUGUCAGCCCGAAAAAAAAAAAUCUCUAGACGACUUAAUCCUAAAUUUUUGAUGAAUAUGCAUGGAUGCUAAAGUGUCAUCCAACGGACUAUUGCCUUAUUCUAAGUAAUAAUCAAAGUAAUAAUCUUUUAAUUUAACAAUAAAAAUCUAAGACAUUAAAAUACUACUCCCUCCGUUUUUUAAUAUUUGACGUUUUGACUUUUGACACACAUCUUUAGGUGAAUUGACCGGAUAAUAUAAAUUAUUAUUUUUGAUUGAUUUUUUUUUUGUGAAUAAAAAUUUUGAUUAUAUAUUUUUAUUCAAAAAAAAAUUUAAAAAUAAUAAUUUUAACUACUUGGUCAAAAUACUUAAAGAUACAUGCCCAAAAUCAAAGCGUCAAAUAUUAAAAAACAGAGGGAGUAUAUUGUUGAUAUGAAAAUUAAAAGAUGGGAAAUUCCUAAUGGUACCAUUGUAGAAUUGGCUUUUCCAAAUGGUACCAAUGACUAUUUUGGGCUUCCAAGUGGUAACACCCAACUUUUGACUUCAUCCGGCACAUACCACUCUGUUAAUCAAACGUUAAUCAAGCUGUUAAGUAGUAACUAAAACCAUAUUUCCCUCCAAAAUACUGUUACCAGCAAGUUAAUACAAUAUCCAAAACAACCAACAAGUCUGAAUCAAAUAAUUUCUACAGAAGUUUCACAAAUGUCCCAAAAUAUGUUCUAACCAUUUAAAGCAUAAUAAGCAUAAUAAAACAGAUCUGAUUUAAGGCUGGGAUUGAGAUAGUGGACAUUGAGACAUGUUGAUUUCAGUGGACUGUGAUGUGUUUCCCUCUUUAGUCUGAUCUGAAGCUUUCUUUUUCAGAGCUGCAGCCGCUUUCCCUGCCUUGGAUUGAUCCCUAAUUCUUGGAUGUCUAACCACUAUUGGUCCAUUCCCUGCUGCCUUCUUUUCUUUUGCAGUCAAACCUCCCUUGCAAGUUCUUGAAUUGUGGCCAAGGCAGUCACACUUAGUGCAUUUCACUGUUUUUGCUCUCUUCCCUUUCUGGUUUUCUCCUUCUUCCCUUUUCCUGUUUCUGCUUGGUCUCCCAACCCCUCUCUUCAUUGCAGGUGGCAUGACAAUAGGUAGAUCAUCAUAUGCAGGCCAUUGGCUUUGGUCAGGUAUGGGGUUAAUGCUAAAACUAUAACAAAGUUUGUAUGUCCUAACAGAGUACCAUGCACUAACAACAUUGUGAGGAUCAAUCUUGGCAUGAACCAUAGCCCUUAUGGCAUGCCUACAUGGGAUGCCACUAAUCUGCCAAGCUCCACAAGAACAGAUCUUGUUAUUUAAAGAUAAAGGAAAGUGAGAUUUACCCUCAUGAAUUUCAUACUCUCCUGGACUAGACAUAUAUGCUUUGCAGCUUAUAGUGUCCUUGCUAAUAGCUUUCAACACCUUCUUUAUCUUUGGACAAAGGUCAUCAUCCUUCCAAGUCAUGGCAGCUUGACUUCUUGUGGCAAUUCUUACCAUGCACACUCUUCUAAUACUUGUUUCAAGCAAAUUAUAUAAUUAGGAAUAUCAAUGCAAAAAUAUGACAUGAAGAAUACAAACAUGUAUAUACCUUCAAGUAAAGUCAAGACUGGUCUGCAUCUAUCAAUUCCAAGAGUGGAAUUGAAACUCUCCACAAAGUUUGAAGUGUUGGAAUCAUUACAUACAUUAGGAUCAAAUUUGUGUUUACUCCAACCAGCAGGAUCUCCUAGCUCUGCAAAAAAUUUCAUGACACUAUCACCACCCACUUCUUUCAGCUUUUCCAUUGCCUUCCUAUAUGUGAACUGUGAUGUGGCAUUACAAGCCCUCCAAAACAGAAUAUAGAGCAAGGGACCAGAAAAUUGUUUUUUGUAAUUUCUGGAGAUGUGUCUACAACAAUAUCUCCUCUUUACAGUUGGCCAUACNCAAUGCACCCAAUGCAUUAUGAGUAUUAUACAAUCAUAUUACACCCAAUGCACCAGUUAACAGUUAUGAGUAUUAUACAUAUCAAUGUAUAUUAUGCAAACCCAAAAAACCUCAUUUACAGGGGAGUCAAAAACUGUUAACUAUCAUACAUAAACACAUAUACACAUAUAAACUCGCACAUAUACGCAGAUAAAACCUAAAACAAUGAAUUAAGCCGCGAAAGAUAUAUAUGUAUCGAUUAUAUAGAGUAAUUGAAGGUGAAAUGCAUACCUUAUAUUUUGAUCACUGUUGAAUUAAGUAGCGAAUGGCUGUAUUGUUUUGUAUCUCGAUCAAUCCCCUCCGUGCAGCAGAACCCUAAUCCUGUGUGCGUGUUUGAUUCUGUGACAUUAAACCCUCGUACCCGACUAAUGACCCAAAUAGCUGUUUUUUUACUUUUAAUUCAUUUUAUUUUAAUUACUUUUUUUAAUUAAAUCAUAAUGGAUUAACGUUUUAUUAACGUUAACUAAACGGAGUGGUAUGUGCUGGAUGAAGUCAAAAGUUGGGUGUUACCAUUUGGAAGCCCAAAAUAGUCAUUGGUACCAUUUGGAAAAGCCAAUUCUACAAUGGUACCAUUAGGAAUUUCCCUUAAAAGAUUAAACCACAUUAGAGUAAUAUGAUAUGUAUAUGUUCACAAGAGAUACCAAUGAUUUACGAUGUCAUUUCUUCAUGUAUUUGAUGAUGUUGGAAUAUUAUGUCACUUUAUUAGUAAUAUUAUUCAUUUUCUCUUUAUUUUACAUGUGCUGGAGAAGAUGAAAUUUUCAUGGAGAAGUAAAAGGUUAUGCUCGUAGAAGUCACACUUCAGAAAGAUAUUCUCGGAUCUUUGUGCUAGUUCAUAUACAAUUAAAUCUCUAUUAAUUAAUAAUGGAAUAAUAACCUUGUAAAAAUAAUACUUUUUACCAGUUUCAAUAUAAUAACAAAAACAGUAUUUCUAUAAAAAUAAAGUCGGUGAAUUAUUUUUUCCUCUUCGACCCAAAACUAUUACUCCCUCCGUCCCACAAUACAUGUUUCUUUUGGAAGAAUUUUUUGUCCCAUCAUACUUAUCCAAUUUUAGUUUCCAAUGCAAAUAUAUUGGCAUUAUUCCAAAAUUACCCUUCUUGAAAGUUGUAUAACAAUUAAUAAGGGUUGAAUAGGAGUCUACAUUCAUACAUUAUUAAGGGUACAAGUGAGAAAUUUUUAUCUAAUUAAUGUUUUCUUAAUAUGCGUAAAUUUUUCAAAAGAGACAUGUAGUGUAAGACAGAGGGAGUAUUUUAAAGAUCCACAAUUUCUCGUAUAAACAUCCAAAUUUUGGUUCAGCUGGUUAAAGAGGGGACAAGUAUCUUUUUGGUUACAAGCGGUGAGAUGGUUGAAUGCUUCUGUGAAGGCUAGUCUGUUCAAAUUCACGUCUGCCAAACGCUCCUUCACUUUUAUGAUUUCAGCAUCUACUUUAACACUCUGCUUUAUGAAUUUAUCAUGUUCUCUCAGCAGCUUUUCUGGUUGCUUUCCCGCAGGGUUAUGAUCCUCUCCCGGCUCUUUCAAAUAUUUCAAAAAAUCUCGCACUGCUUCGUUGUCAUGACCCUUAAAAUUUUCUAUUGCUUGCUCAUAGGUAAUCUUUCUUGGCACCACAGCUAACAAUUUGUCCACUCUUUUGAUCAAGUCUUUAUAGUCCACUGCCACUAUUUUUUCCUUUUCUGACCCUUUAUUAUCUUUUCCCUCCAGCCUUUCAAUUUGCUCUUUCAUUGCCUUCAAUUCUGUUUCGGCGUUAGUUAUUUUUCUAUCUUUGUCUCUCCCUUUUCGUGCUAGAACCUAUUCGACUUCUCUUCUAUCUCUGCACUCCGGUCUGCCUCUGGCUCAGAACCCUUAAAUGAUGGAUCAGAUAUGCCAAACAAUGCACUGUAUGAUUCCACUUUUAAGUAGUUUCUAAGGUGAAGUAGUACAUUUUGCAACUUAUGUUCUAUUUAUAAGCUAACUCAAACACGCACAUGUAGUCGGGUUAUUCUAGACUGUUAAUUAUAAUAGGGUUUCACUGCUUAUAAGCUAAGUCAAACACGCACGUACAGUUGUGUGUUAUUCUUUAAUUAUGAUAUAGUCGGGAUGUCUUAAUUUUAGAGUCUGAGGCUAACGCUAGUUUGCACAAUCCACACAGAGUCUUGAAAAACUGCAACAAUAUAAAAUGGAAACAACAUUGAUUUGCUGCAUGAGCUAAACAAACAAAAUACGAACAUACAAUGAAAAAAUAGACAAUUCCAAUCCAAUCCCAAAUGAAGACACGCACAAAACAUAAUCCCAAACAAAGACAUGCACAAAUCAACUCAGAACACAAUUCUACUAUUCCACACCGAAUUAAAAAUUGUACGAGAUUCUUCUGGAUGCAAGCUUUACUUAAUUUCCAGACAAGUAGUCCAUAGAGAAAAUAUUAAAAGGCAACACACAGAGGAAGAAGAGAAGAUGGUCUGUGGACGAAAUAUUUUUGUGAAAUGACACGGACUUUCUCGUCUCCUGCAGCAAAUACACCAAUCAGCUUACUGUUUCUUACUGUAUGUUAUUUGCUCCUUUCACUCUUCGAAUGAAUUAUGUGCUUUCAUGACUGCAACACAUUUCACAAGUUUUGCCAACCUCGAUUCUCUUUCACCCUUGUAAGUCCACCCACGUUUGAUGAUGCCUGAUAAAUUACUCCACAUAUUUAUCAGAGCAACGUCAUCAUCACUCAAUUUAGUGUUUGAUGUACUUGUGUAGCACUUCUUAAUGUGAUCUGCAAUUGGUAUAAAUCUCGUAGCUUCACAUAUCAUCACCACUAAAUGUGUAAUAUGUUUAGCCAAAUCUUUAUGAUCAUCCUCAUCAAAUGGGUACUGAGUGAGAUGCUCAAAUGCGUCGAUUAAGGCUUGUCUGUUCACAUCAAUUUUUUUAAUCUCUUCGUUGGCAACACUGUAGGUGGCACCAGUUCCAAAAUGCUGAAGCAGCUCCCCCAAGGUUGUGGAUAUUUUGUUCAGGUCGUCACAGAACUGAUACAGAUCCUCAGCCACCGUCACUGCACUAUAUAAACUUAUAAUGCCCUUAUCUAAUUUUUCAAUUUCCAUUUUCAGCUCUUCAAUCUUCCCAUUCAUUUGCUGCAGCUGACAACAUUUCUCUUUCAAGUUUCCCGCAAGUCCCUUUUUCAACCCUCUGGUAGAUUCAUCUUCCUCGGGAAUUUCUUUUUCAAGUAAUUUAAUCAGCUCAAUCCUUUGGAGGAGUUCAUCUUUUAGCUGUGCUUCUGUUUUUGCGUUUGCUUUCUCUUUCAGCUUUUUUUCUUGUUCAGCCUUCCUUUCCGGUAUAUCUUUGGGUUUAUCUCCCGUUUUCAAUGUAACUGUUAUUUUGUAAUCAAUGGAAUCAAAGAUUUUGACUGCUCUUCGGAUCUCGUUGUUCCAAUUUUUGAGCCAUUGAUGGAAUUCACUAAAGAAGAUUAUUUGUACAAAAGAUAUAUAUUAGUAAAAAAAAUUAUGACCUCACGAGUGGCAUGCAUUUUAAUGCUUUUGUAAAUCAUAGUUUGAUAAAUUAUUUUGAACUUUUUUCUUCUGUAGAAAAUGAAAAUUUUAGGAAAAAAUUAUGCACCAAUAUUUUAUAUGCACUUUAAAAUGCGUGUCAAGUAGUUAAAAAUAUGUACCUUUCUUGUGUUUCCGCAUCUGUUCCGUGCUGCCCUUGGCCCAAAAAAACCUUAUGUUUUACUUCCAGCAUUAUCAUAAGCUUUUUCAUGGCAAUGCUGUCUGAUAUCUUACUCAGAUUUCCUAAUCUCUCUCCCCAAAAUUUUUUAAACUCGUCGGUUUCAGCAUCCGCAGGCUCACUCGCCUUCCAGGAAUACCUAUUUUUGGCCAGCCAAUAUAUCAAGUGGUCCGCUCUUUUCAACUGCUCAUCAAGUUCGGGUUCGUAAGUCUCUUCCUUUCCCCUACCUGUUUCCAUCGUCUGCUUCACUGUCUCUAGUAUUUGAACAGCGUACUCUGUUUUCUCCACUCCGUUUAUUAAAACUUUCAUCCUAUUUGUUAAUUUAUUGUACAGGUUUGUGACCAGCACCUUUUGCUUCUUUGUUUCAAAGUCUGAAACAAAUGCGCUAAUCAAUGACUGAUAUGAUGGACCCAAUUUAACUUUUUUUAGCUCGUCUGCAAUACAAAAACACAACUCCAAAUCAAACAGAUAAUAUUAGGAUACAACAUAAGACCUUAACCAAAAAUAUAUAUCUUACAGGAAGUUUGGAAUUGCUUAAGAUACUCAACAGCUGCAGCAGUCGUCUUAACAUCUUUCUCCUCGCUUAGAAUAAUCCAGCAUUCAGCAUUGUCAUCUAUCUCCGUCUCAUCAUCAUUGGAUUCAGCAUUGUCAUCUAUCUUCCCCUUAUCAUCUUUAUUCACAGUAGCUUCUUCCUUCUUCGGUUUAUAUUCCCUUCUGUAUCCGACCAAGUACAAACUACUUUUGUGUAUCAAAAUGUGCAAAUCGUAUUGCUCAUAAGUUAACUUUACUUGGAAAAACUUUUCAGCUGAACUGAUGUUACCUUCAAUUAAGGUUUCUACAACAGAAACUUUACCAAGGUUGUCAUCAAUCACUUCAGUAACAAUGCUUUCUACCCCAAGACAUGAUUUGAUUUUGUCCUCGAUGUCUUCAAGUGUCUUAGAUUCUCGAGUGCCACUAAGUUUCCGAUUUGGAUUUAGUGGCUUAAAUUCAUCGAUAAUGCUUUUGAUGAACUUACCGUAUUCAUCACCGUCGUCUUUGCUAAGGUCUAGAAUAUGCUGUUUAUCUUCAUCAGAUAAAACCACAGUGGGAGGAGAGUGUGUUUUUGUCAUAUAAGCUUUCAAGAUAUUAGAAAGUGAAGAAAGAUGCAGUGUUCGUCUUCAUUAAAUUAGCCCACUUUAUAGUUUUUACAAGUCUUACUGGAUCCUACACCUGAAAGUCUGCAAAAUAAUACUCCCUCCGUCCCACCAGAUUCUUUACAGUUUCCUUUUUGGGAUGUCUCAUCCAAUUCUUUACAUUUCAAAACUUACCAAAAAUAGUAAAUGGGUCCCACCACUUUCCAACUUUUUCUUCCUUUUCACACUACUUUUACUCCCCUUUCACACUACUUUUACUCCACUAUCUCUCUUUUAUACAUUAAAAAUUGAUGGGUCCCGCCAUUUCACCCACUUUUCUUUCUCUUUUCCACUACUUUAUACAUAUUUCUUAACCUCCGUGCCCAAACCAAACGUAAAGAAUUGGCUGGGACGGAGGGAGUAACAAACUGUUUAAGGUAUGUAAAAGUGUACGAAUAAUCUUAUUAUUGAACACAAAUUGUCACUGCUUUUUUCUUUUUGCCCUUUGAAGCCGAAAGACACGCCAUGAAUGAUCAUUCCCAUUAGUACUGUAAGUUGCUUGUCAGGAAAAAGGAAAAACAAGUAUAUGAAGCAUGGAUUAUUCAAAUUAAGUUGCGCCGAUUGUUCAUACUGUCGCGCUCAUUUGUUUGAAUUUGGUGAGUUAGAAAUUAUAUAAAUUACUGGAAAAAAAUGUUGGGAAUCAAUUAUUUUAUCCAUCACACAAGUCUGUCAUGGAAAUGAUGAUAUUGGUGAAAAGAUUAUGAUAUAAUUAACUUUUCAGUUGUUACCAAUUAUAACAGAAAUGACGCUUUAUUAUCAAGCAAGUUUCUCUCUUUCUUUCGUCAAAAGACAAGCAAAUAAUUAUAAUAGACAUGAGACUUCAUUCUCAAGCUUCUCUCUUUCUUUCGUCAGAAGACAAGUAUACAAGAGCAUCUCCAGCACAGUCCCAACAUGUUCCCUAAAUAUAUAAUAAAAUAUGUAUUUUGUAAGGGAUUAUUACUACAUUUUAUUCAAUGGAAACUCCAACAACAUUCCCUGUUUGUAUUCUCUAUUAUUAUUAUUGUAACAUUAUAUUCAACUUGUAAGUAGGAGAGAGAAAUGAGAGAAAAAGUGGGAAAAAGGAGAAAAGUGAAUAUUUUAUUAUUCAAAAUAGUAUGAAGAAUGGUUCCACAGUCCUUAAAAAUGAGGAAUGAAGUGGACAUUCUAACUUUUUAAGGAAUUGCUAGGACUCUACUCGAGUUGUGUUUUAUGUCCUAUUCUUUAUUAUAAUAGUUUAGGACAUCAUAUAGCUAAGCCGUUGGAGAUGCUCUAAAAUAGCAAACAAUAUGACUCGUAUUCCUUAUUUGUUAAAUCGUCAAAAUAUAUUUAAUUACGUUAUUUAUAUUUUAUAAUAUGACUUUCCCUAUUUGCUAAAUAUGUCAUCUCUAAUAUCUUCAAAUUUUCAAAAUGCAGUCAUGCUUUAGUUAAAGUUGAUACCAUUCUUUUCAUGGCAGAAAACAUGGUGAACACUUGAGUGCUCCUUGCCCCAGCCAAAAGGAAAAAGUAUGAAAAUGAGUAAUCGGUGUGUAUCCUUAAAUAUAACACGCCGGCUUUUAUAUUUGCGCACUCACUAUCGCUUCCUAGUACCAUGGUUGAGUUAUUUUUCUGGUUGUCAGGCUUUGGAACUUUCUAAGGCACCCUAUUGUUUCGUUGGCAGUGAUGCAAAAGCUGCUGCCAGAUAAUGAGGUCGUUUGGACAAUUUUAAAAAAAGUGAUUUCUCGCUUAAACACUAUUCAUUCACGUCUGCCAUAUGUUCCUUCACUCUUAUUAUUUCAGCAUCUCCUUUAACACUGUUCUCCAUGGAUUUACGUUGCUCUUACGCAGGCUUAUGAUGAUCCUCUGGCAGCUCUUUUAAAUAAUUUAAAAAAUCUAGCGAUGCUUUGUCGUCGUUACCCAUAAGUAAUAUCUCUUGGAACCAUAGCUAACAAUCUGUUCACUCUUUCAAUUGUUGGGCCGUAUUAAUCUAAACAUAUUUAUGAGCUUACUGCACUUUGCAACCCUCUACUUUGCUCGAAAAACACUUUGGUACAUAGACUUUGAAACGUGUCAGUUCGCCUCAUUAACUUAUAAUUAUCCUGCAGUUUGCACCCGUUAAUCGUUUUCCGUCUGUGGUCAAACUGUCAACGUUAAAUUGGAGGAUAAAACUGUAAUUUCACAUUUUAAAUUAAAAGAAAAAAGAAAAUACAAUCGUGCAUUACUCUCGAGCUCAUAGACACUUCGCUUCACUUCCCUCCAUCCCCAAAUAUCACUUUCCCUCCUUCCUGCUUUCACCCACCAUUCUGUACGAGUUUGAAGAUCGAUUUGGAGUUUGAAGAUCGAUUUGGAGUUUGAAGAGGGAAACAAUGCGAGGUCGUCUACGAGUUACCAGUUUCGCUGAUGAUCCUUUAAAUGGCUCCAGCAAUAUGACCUCUUACAAGGGCUUCGAAAUCCCUAAAUAUGGAGGCAAGUUUCAUCUUUGUUCAUCUAUUUUAUAUGUAUUUUGAUUGCGCGAACUAUUUUGCAUGCAUGUGGUUGUUUUUGUUAGGGUUAGGGUUUAUUGAUGUCCGAUAUAUAUUGUUUAUUGUAGUGGACUGUGGUCCCUUUAUGUUUGCUUUUUUAUAUUUGUUGUUGACAGUGGGUUGUUGCCUUCUUUGAAUACUAUUGAAUUUUUUUGCCUAAAAUAGCAUUUUCCCCCUUUAAAUCGCCUCAAUUUAAUGUAGUAACAUGGCUGAAUUUGUUAUGUUCUGUAGAGCAAUCACGGUACUUUACAAUUGCACUGCAUCACAGUGGAGAUUUUAAUGAGACUUCUACAGAAUAUGUUGGUGGCAAGCUUGACUAUUUUGACAUGUGUAGUGUACUGGAUAUGACAAUGUCUGAGAUAAAUGCAAUGAUUGGGGAAUUAGGUUUUUCUGCUGAUGAUACUCAAUUGUAUGCAUUGAUCCCAGAAAAUAUAUUGCCAGAUGGUUUAUACCCUUUAGAAAGUGAUACUGAUGUGGACUAUUUAACAACUCUAGUGGAAUACACUCACUGUCAAAUUGUAUAUGCCACUAAGAGAAGAAUUAAUGUUGCACAUGAUCUUAUGGACUUUUCAUUUACUCAAAUGUAUGAAGAUGAGAGGGUGGAUAGAAUAGAGAAGAUGAGAGAUGAAGUAGAACCUAUGGAAAAUGACAGUGAAUCUGAGAAUGGUGAUAGUCAGGAUGAAGAAGAAAAUGUUGGAGAUGAAGAAAAUGAGUGUGACUAUGGUGAUUUCAAUAGUAACAGUGACAUAGAGAAUGAUUAUGAAGAUUCUGAAGAUUCUGAUUAUGUUUGUGAUGAGAUUACUGAUGAAGUUACUGAAAAAGAGGAGAAAGAAAAGCAUACUACUAGUGAGCCAGCAGUUAAAAGGAGGAGAAGAAUACCUCCACCCAACCCUCCAUACAGGACUAGAAAAAGAGGGAGAUAUUCUAUGCUAAGAGUAAGUUUCAUUGCAUUUAUAUUCUAUUUAUGUGAAAUUUAUGUGCUUUUCAUUGGAUUUAUGUGAUAUUUUAUGUCUUUUUUGAUGCAGGGUUUGUUUAAAAACACUGAAGAUACACCUGUUAUUGUGGAUGAGGAAGAUGAUCAGCAUGUUCCAGAUGAUAAGAAGGGUAAGAACAGAUGUGUUGAUUUAAAAGGAAAGAACAAGUCUGUUGAGGUAAAAGGAGAGCCUAAGAAAUUGGCUAAAAAUCCCAGAGGUAAGAAGAGUAGCCCUCUUAAGAAGUCCAGACCUCCAAGCAAAGGGAAGAAUGUGGUGAAUCCUAGACCUAGUGCUUUGAAGCAACCUCCAAGCAAAGGGAAGAGUGUGGUGCAUUCUGCAAAGAAAAAAAACAAGAGAGUCAGAUUUAAAACUUCUGACACAGAAGAGGAUGAGGAGAAGAAAUUUGAAGAUGAGGAUGAUGAGAUUGCAGAAGAAAGUGGCAGUGAGAGCUCAGAAAGUUUAUAUGACAGUAGUGAGGAAAGAAUUGCAUUGAGUUCCCGUGAUGAAGAUGAUUCCACAUACCCUGAAUUUAAUGAAGAAAUUGAUAUGGAUGACCCUCAGUUUAAAAUAGGGAUGCUUUUUAUAAAUGGACCAGCUUUUAGGGCUGCUAUAAGAAAGCAUGCCAUUGUCAAUCAAAGGCCAGUUAGGUUGAGGAAGAAUCAUGGUAAAAGGAUCAAGUGGAUUUGUUCUGGAGGGUGCAAGUGGAAAGUGUAUGCAACACAACAACAAAGAUCUUCAAGUUUCCAGAUCAGGGCUCUCCAUAAACAGCACACAUGUAAUCCUACCUGGGACCAGAAGCAAGUAAAUUCAACCUGGAUUGCUAGGGAAUAUGAAGAUGAGAUCAGGAUGAACCCUGAUUGGCCAGUAGCUUCUUUUAGAUCCAAAGUUGUGAAUGAUUUAAAGUGCAAUAUUAGUGAUUCAAUGAUCUACAGAGCUUUGAGAAAAGCAAAAGAGGUGAUUAAAGGGAAGCAUGAAGAAUAAUUCAAGAAAGUAUAUGACUAUGGCAAUCAAUUAUUGAAGGAGAUGCCAACUUCCACUGUGAAAGUUAUGACUGAACAUGAAGCAGAUGCUACAAGGUUUAAGAGGCUGUAUGUAUGUCUAGGGCCACUGAAAGAGGGGUUUAUACACUAUUGUAGACCCCUUAUAGGUUUAGAUGGAUGCCAUUUGAAGGGUCCAUAUGGGGGAAUACUUUUAACCGCAGUAGCCACUGAUCCAAAUGAUGGUAUUUUCCCAUUAGCUUGGGCCUGGGUAGAAGCUGAAAAUAAUGAUUCUUGGGAGUGGUUUAUUUCCUUGCUGAAAGCUGAUUUAAGGAUUGAAAAUUCAGGGGCAUAUACCUUCAUAUCUGACAGGCAGAAGGUAAACUCUAUUUAUGUGUAUUUUUUGCUAAUUAAUGUACAUAUCUUUGUGUGGUUUCUAUGCUUAAUAAUCUGGUUUUAACAGGGACUUGUGAAUGCUCUGGAAGCUCUAGUUCCACAGGCAGAAAUGAGGUUCUGUUGCAUGCAUUUAUAUGCAAAUAUGAAGAAAGAACACAAAGGCACUGGAGUAAGGAGGUUUCUAUGGUAUGCAGCAAGAGCAACUAGUGAGUAUUAUUUCAAGAAAAACAUGGAAGCUUUGCAGAAGGUAUAUAUCUAUAUCUCCAAGCUUUGCAAAUUUCCUAACAAUAACUAUAUCUCCUAAUUGUUUUGCAAAUUUCAUAACAAUUUAUGAUAGCUCAAUGCUAAGGCCUAUGAAUGGUUGAGUGCAAGACCUAGAAGUCAGUGGAGCAGAAGUGGUUUCAGGGAACAUUGCAAAUCUGAUAUGUUUGUAAACAAUAUAUGCGAGGUCUUCAAUAAUGCCAUAUCCAAAUAUAGAGAUAUGGGCAUCAUUACAAUGUUCAAAGGAAUCCACCUCAGUUGCAUGCAAAGGAUACAAAAAAGAAAAGCCAAGAUGGAAAAGAGGAAUGGCAAGUGGUGUCCAAAUGCAAUUAAAAUGCUCAACAGGUACACACUAUAAUCUCUACACUGUAUAAAAUGCAUAUAAUUGCUUAUAAAUCUGUAGACUGUAUAAAAUGCAUAUAAUUGCUUAUUAAUUAGACUAUUUUACAUAUUGAAGCUCAAUCAAAUUAGCCGCGAAAGCUAGGCCAGUUUGGAAUGGUGGUGACAAAUAUCAUGUCACCAUGACAGUAGGGGGCCAUGAGAUAGUUGUUGACUUGAAUAACAGGACAUGUGCUUGUAGAAGAUGGCAAUUAACAGGCAUUCCAUGCCAUCAUGCUGUUUCAUGCAUUUAUUUCCAAAAACAAAAUCCAGAAGACUAUAUACAUGCCUGCUAUGAAAGGGAGAAAUUCAUAGGCUUGUAUAGCAAUCUUCUAGAACCAAUCAAUGGUGAAGAAUUCUGGGAAGCUACAAAUCAGCAAAGUAUCCUUCCACCAGUUAUUAAAGUAGCUCCCGGAAGGCCAAAAAAAAAGAGAGAUAGGAAAAAUGAUGUUGUAGAAACUAGGGAGAAUGAUCCUACCAUGCUCAAACGGAAGGGGACCACUUUAUCGUGUGCAUGGUGUAAGGAGUAUGGCCACAAUGUUAGGAGUUGUAAAACGAAGGGAUGUUCAUGUCUUUCACCUGCUAUUUAUCGUGUGACCACUUUAUCGUGUGCAUUGUUUGUUGUUUUUUUGUUGCAGAAACUUGAAAUGGCAAGAAAAUCACAGGAGGAAGGUGAAAAUACUGAAACUACUGCUGCAGCCCCAGUCCAGGAAAAUGCAAGUAAUGAAGCUACAGAAAAUAAUGCAGCAUUCUCAGUCGAAAGAAAGAAGAAGACUUGUUCCUAUUGCAAGAUUGCAGGACACACUGUAAGAUCAUGUUCUGCAAAGGUAUUCAUUCUUUUGCUACAUCUUUUAAAUAGUGUUUCUUUUGCUAGAUUUGUUCUUAUUUUCUUUCAUUUUCGACUAGAAAAAUGAUGAAGCUUUUGAUGGGGAGGGGGUGAUGGAUCAUGGAGAGAACCUUGUUCAGGAAGCCAUGUCAGCUACUCACACACAUGCCGGAAUUGUCAACCAAUUUCGAGCACCUAGACAAUAUCCAGGGAAGGCUCCGUUAGGUGUUGAACCUGAAAAUUACAACACAAAGGAUGGGAAGAUGUACACCUCUCAGAGGAAGCUGACAGAGGCAUUGCAAAAGAAGAAGAAAGAGGUCGAAGCUAAAAGGCCAGAGAAGUAGUUGUGUUCAUGUUCAGUAGCUAAAAUGUGGCUUCUUUUGGAACAAAAAAUUGUGCCAUAUCAUUUUGUCAGUUAUUUGAUGUCUGAUAUCAUCAAUUUUAGCAUCCAGACUUAAACAAGUUGCUCCUGUGAAGCAUACUUUUGUUGGAAUAUUGAAUAUUUUGUUGGAAUGUUGGAUAUUUUGUUGGAAUAUUGAAUAUUUUGUUGGAAUAUUGAACCAUUUCGCUUCUUAAACUUGUACCAUUACAGUACAAUAUUCAAGAUGAGAACAAUACAGGAAAUUAAGAACAUACAAGCUACCAUACUACAUUUCUGCCUCACUUUUUUUAGAGAACAAAUACACGCAAAUUAUAAUCCAAGUCAAUAGCAAUAGUAAAGCAGUUUUGUUGCAUGGCAUGUCCGUCUUUUGCUUCUUCACUUCCAAAGCCUUCACUUCACCUUCAAGGACAUUAAUCCUUCUUAUCAGGCCGGGUAUUAUCAUCCUAGCACGUUCACAAAGCGGACCAUCGACCCAACGAAAGUAAUUACACACCUGAUCCGGACAUCCAGCAAAUCUUUUUCCGCUGUUUAUUUCCGUCCAAGCUGUGCGAACAACCACCCAUUUAUUACAGAAGCAUCGCUCAGCCAUAACAAAAAGAUUUAAGAGAAGAAGAAGAUAUAUGCAGUAUACAAAUGCUGCAUCACCCACAUAUAUAUAUGAAGUAGUGCUGCCAAAAAGAGCCGUUAGCUUUUUGAACAAUUAACGUUAAUUGGCCAAUGUAACGGUCAGGGGCAAACUGCUAACGGUUUCAAAAUUAAUGAGGCAAACUGACACGAUUCAAAGUCUAUGUACCAAAGUGUUUUUCGAGCAAAGUAGAGGGUUGCAAAGUGCAGUAAGCUCCAUAUUUAUUUAUUUAGCUAACAAUCUGCUUAAUUUUUAGGAAAAAAAAAAAACAGUCUGCCAGCACUUGUUAACGUUGGUAUGUUUGAAUAAGUCUCAGGUAGUUACCUGGUUUGUAGGAGUGUGGGUAGAGUCAGUUAUCUGAUUUGUCUGCUUUCCAUAUCAAGCUCUUCCUUUCUCCACUAAACCUAACCCUAAUUCACAAUUAUUAUCUUAAUUGUGAUUUGUAUGUGUAACCAACAUCAAGCUCUUUAUUAUCUUUUCCCGCUUUCAGUUUUCUCUUUUAUUAGCUUCAGCAAUGGCGGCCAAGAGAGGAGCUCUUCUCACAAUGACUUGUUUCAGCUUAAGGCCUCUCAGUGUAAGCCCCUGUUCUCUCUCAUCCUCUCUUUUUCGUUCUCAUUUUCUUCUUUUCUCUACUAAACCUCACCCUAAUUCACAAUUUAAAGCCCCCUUUAUUCCUUCUCCAUCCACCACUCAUCCCAAACUUAAACAAUUACUCUAUCAUAAAUCUAAAGUUGGUUUUGAUAAACUCGAAGAUGCUCUUCUUCUGUUCGAUAAAAUGCUCCGUCUGAAAUCUAGGCUUUCUGUUGUGCAUUUCACACAACUGUUAACCGCCCUCGUUCGAAUGGAAAAGUACUCUGUUGCCGUCUCCAUGUUUAGAGAAUUCCGUGUUUUAAGCAUUCCUGUUGAUAUUGUUACCUUUAAUACCGUCAUCCAUUCCUGUUGUCACUUGAAUACACUUGAUUAUGCCUUUUCGUUGCUUGCUGGAAUCAUCAAGAGUGGUUGGGUACCCGAUGUCUUUACCUACAACACUCUCAUCAAGGGCCUUCUAUCUCAAGACAAGCCUUUGGAGGCUGGGGAUUUGUUUAAGAAGCUUAUCACAUUUCAAGAAAUUCAGCCCAAUGUAGUUAUGUAUAACACCAUCAUUGAUGGUCUCUGCAAAACUUCAAAUACCUCCAUGGCUCUCAAGUUAUUAAGAAAGAUGGAGGAGAUAGGUUGUAACCCCGAUGCGGUAACUUAUAACUCCAUUAUUGAUUCUUUGUGCAAAGAGAGACGAGUCGAUCAAGCAUUGGUUCUUGUGUCUGAAAUGACCGGCAAAGGCAUACCACCCAAUGUUAUAACAUAUAACACGCUACUUCAAGGCCUUUGCAGCUCCGGCCGAUGGGAGGACACUGAGUGUUUGUUAACUGAGAUGGGUGUUAGGAAGAUCUCUUCAGAUUUGCACACCUAUAAUAUAUUAGUCGAUGCAUACUGCAAAGAAGGGAGGACAACAUAUGCAGAAGAUGUGAUUGAAAUUAUGAUCCAGAAAGGUGUGCCUCCUGAUUCAAUCACAUACAAUGCACUGAUGGAUGGUUAUUGUUUAACAGGCAAAAUGGACAGGGCACUAGAGGUGUUGAAUUACAUGAGGAGUAAUGAGAUAUGGCCAGACUGUUAUAGCUAUACCAUUCUGAUAAAUGGCUAUUGUAAGAGGCAGGAACUAGACAAAGCCAUCAGUCUCCUCAGACAAAUGUCUGCUGAAGGUCUGAAACCUGUAGUUGAAACCUACAAUACACUGAUGCAUGGUCUCUUUCAGAUGGGCAGACAUAAUGAGGUGGACAACCUUUUCCAUGAAAUGCUAAAAGAAGGUAAUAAACCAAAUAUUGUGACAUGUCGAAUUUUGUUGGAUGGCCUUUGCAAGAACCGAUACAUGGAUGAAGCAAUUUCCUUCUUUCGAGUGAAUGAAUGUAAAGGUAUAGUUCAUGAUAUUCAAAUACAUAAUAUCCUAAUUGAUGGUCUCUGCAAGAACAGAAAACUUGACGAGGCCAGAAAUAUUUUUGAUAAGCUUGCUUCGAGUGGUCUGCAACCCAAUGUCAUGACACACAAUAUAAUGAUCAGAGGACUGUGUCAAGAAGGGUUAUUUGAGGAAGCAAAGGAAUUACUUUCUAAAAUGGAAACAAGCAUUUGUUUGCCUGAUGAUGUGACCUAUAAUAAGAUCAUCCGUGGAAGUCUUUUGAAUAAAAGAUAUGAAGAAGCAGCGGCUCGUAAAUUCUCAGAAGAUGCAUCCACCACAUCCAUGGUACUAGACCUAUUAUCUAAAGAACAGGACCCCUCCGUUCUUGCUUUCUGCAAAUGGUUUUUGCAAUAGGUACUGAAGUUUAUGGUUCAUUGUUAUGUAUUGUAUUGUCAUCUUUUAACUUCCUUAAGUUUUC
rnacentral:lncRNA from 1 species